ACAAAACACGUCUCAAUCUAAAACUAAACAAAAUAGAAAGGGCAUACUGUACCUCUCUUGGGAAGUGAUGGUAUGUUUUCUUGGGGAAGUAAGAGUAGUAUGGCGGUAAAUGAGGCACAAUAUCCUGCUCGUGUGUAACCCUGAUCGCAUGCUUUACAUUUUUACUGAAAAAUGACGCAAAAGCAGCAUUGCCGACACGAGGUUGUCCAAAGGUCAUAAGUUCGACAUUGCGUAUUCCCUCGUUGACCUACAAGACAAAUUUUUCCGUUCAAAUAAAGGGAAGUGCAUUUACAACGUAAAAUAUCCGAAAUUUGACGGGAGGAAAAGGUGCAAUAGAAAAUAAAAGCAAUUAUGUUGGUAGAAAGAAGCAUAUGGUACUUACAAUAAGAUCAAGCGCACAAAAGGAAGCCAAAGCCCCUCCCAUGGAAUGCCCUGUGACCAUUAUCUUGAUAUGUCCAUAACUCCUCCUAAUCUUUUCAACAGCACUUAUAACCGCAGGACGUAUCGUUGUGUUAUGGUACGCCGAAUAAAAUCCACGAUGCACCUUCAAUAAAAGCAGGAAAGAUGUAAAGAACACUAGUACCAAGAUUAGAUUUGGAAAAUGACCUUUUUAGAGUAUACAAUACCAACCAUCGCAUCAGGCAUGCCGGGGUAGUUCAAAUCAAGCUGUUUCCAUAACAGAUCCUCUACCCAGUUCUGGAUGCUGAAACAAUGAAAAGAAGUAAAUAAUCGAAUAAGAAAAUGACUAAAAAAACAUAAAUAAUAUGCAGAUAGAAAAAAUCAGAUUGAUCUUCUUCCUCCACUGCCUUUUAAUCUUUUAGGGUAAUUAAUCAAGGAUUCCCUACAAUUCUGUAGCCUGUAGAUCUUUUAUGUGCAAACUAUAAUUUAUACAAACUUAUGUUGAGUAAUUGCUAUAAAGUAGGAUUUCAAAUGUAAUCUGCAAGCUCAGUUCUAAAAUUAUGUACACCACAAUUACGAAGCAAAGUAGAUAGAUGGUGGGGCUCAUACACCAUAUUAUCCUCCAAUAUUUGCAUAUAAUUCAAAUAACAACAAUAAAUCAAAGGUGCAUAAUUGACAGAACCUCACUUAGUACCACCUAAGAUUCUGUGCAUACAGUAAAGGUUUGUAAUGCAUCUAGGCAACGCAAAUGAAAUUAUCUUAGGGUAAGUUUGGUUCCAUAUAACAGCAGAAAAUAGUUUUCAAAGGAAAAAAAUUUUCCAAGGAAAAAAUUAUAGCAACAAAAUUUAACCAUUCUUAAGAACCAAAAGAUGAAACAUCUAAUGUGCAAAAUUGAGACUUAAAAAAUAAAAAAUUCAUAACAUCUUAACAACAAAGUGUUAACCUGCCUAUUCAAAGUUACUAUGAAAAGCUCCAUACCUGUUCUCCUGAGUUCCUCUGAAAGCUACUAUGAUAGCAUCAAGAUUGUGAUCAACACCAACAACUGCCUGCAUCAUAGGUCAUACACAAUGUGCUUAAUGACAAAUCUUUUCACAAGGACAACAUAUUGGAAAACAAAAAGGAACCUGUAAGCAGUGCUGGACAUCCACAAUCAGCUCUAUCACCUCAAACCCCUGUUUCAAUAAUACUAAUGAGGUUACUAUCUACUCAAUAAGUACGGAAAGUACAUCAUGAUUAACAACAACAAACACCAUCCAAAAGCAAAUCGUGCAUGCAACUACGUGAGAAAAGAAAAUCCAAAACUCUAACCUUCGUCAAGUCAUUACAUCUUGAGCAGGUCCAUGUAAAUAGUGCUGUUAGAUCUGUCUCAGUUACCUGAAAAUCGUAUUAACGUUCAUCGCCAUAGGUCAGAAAUCAUGUUGAAACAGCAGAGUCUAAAAUGAAAUUCACAGAUCUAAUAAAGUAUGCAACUCAGAUGAGUUGUUGGAUAAGGCGAACCCUAACAAAUUAACUCAACCUUACGACAUCUUCACUUCUAAUCAGUACUAGCCUGACUAAAUGGUUAGGCUUUCUUCAAUAUAACCUGACCUGAUUUCUUCAUGGGGUAAAGUAGAGUUGGGCUAGGUUGAAGACAGUUUGGAUUUGGUUAGGUUGCCAGGUUUGACAUAAUUAAAAUUAGUGGUUGAAAGGAUUGAGACGAUAGAGUUCACCAAUUCUUUAAUGGAAAGGUAAACCUUUUCAUUCCAUAUUUUUUAUCUUAUCUAAAUGCAAGAAACGAAAAAUGAAUAAUACUUGGUAUAAAAUACAUAUUAUACAUAUUCUAUAAUAUAUGACUGCGUCGUACUGAUCAGGCUAAACUGGGCUCUGUUUGAGGUCUUGGGGUUGGGUUGAUAUUUCCCAACUCUAAAUCAACUUAGGUUCCAAACUGGCAUUAUAACUUGGUCCAUGAUCGUGUUGGCUUGACCAGUGUUCAAUUGAACCCAAACCAAGUAGCAGCUAUAGAACUGAUUAAGCACAUAUUUUAUUUCGAAGAAAAAUAAAACCAAUCGCUAAUAAUAACCAAUUUAGGAAAACAAAAAUGUUUGAGAAACAUGCCAACUACAACUAGUUUGUGAAAGCAAAGAAGUUCAAGAACUUAAAAUGUGCAAUUACAACUAGUUUGUGAAAGCAAAGAAGUUCAAGAACUUUAAACUAAUGGUGGAUCUUCUAGAAGAGAAACAGGGUAUCUGCGAGAUAACAGUUUUAUCAAACAAAAUAAAUUAGAAACGAAAGCUUACAGCAGAAGAAUAUUCCACGAGUAUCAUGGCAAUAGUGUGGUUAUAAAUCUGACUGUCGUCAUCAUUCUUGAUGGUAAGUUCUGCGGUUGCAAAAACAAAAGAUAAGGAGGCCAUCAGCAUUGCAAGAAAACAACUACAACAAUAAAAACAAUAGACUUUAAACAAAGCACUUGAUGCAACAAUUCAUAUCGGAAGAAAGGAUACAAGAAUGUGCCCGAUGUCCCAAACAAAAGUAAGCUCAACUUCCCAAAUCUGUUUUGUAGUGCAGAGUCUAAUCAUCAUCCUGUUGAUUUGGAAAACUUUUCUGUCCGGGCAUUUCAAAUUGUUUGUUACAUACUCACAACUAGCAGUAGGUUCUGAAGGAAAUUACAACAGAACUGCAUUUUGAAACACAGGGCGGUUGUCCAUAACUGUGCUAUACAAAGGGGAGCUUAAUUCAGCAUUGUGAAAUAAUUGUUUGUCACUAAAAGCUAAAGCCACUAGAAAACGGUGUUUUAAUAUUUUACUUUCAACUUUCCCUCUCACAUCUUGGAUCGAGAUUUUUCCGAGCCCCAAGACAUCAACUUGAACUUCAAUGAGGGAAAAAUGAUUGGAAUCAGGAGAUUGGUGGGAUUUGAGCUUAGGAAACUUGCUCCCGAUACCAAGUGAAAUACCAGCUCCUCAAAAAAGUUUAUGCUACCAGAGAAUGGCGUUUUAACACUUCAUAUUCAAGUGGUCGACGGGUUUCAAAAGUCCUUCCUUUUGCUGUAUGAGAAGAGAGAAAAUCCCUAUAUUUUUCAGCAUUUAGGUGUAGCUUCAAACUAUUAGUAUUCAAUGUUACUCAAUUUAAGACACUUGUAAUAACAAAAAUCAAAUUAUUGGCGCAAAAUAAAGAAUUUUCUUUCUUAAUUCAUGCCUAUUUGAUCAGAUCUUACAUUGCACAAUACAAAUCCCAUCUCCCUCAUUUCCCACUCAAAUUUAAGACUUAGAACAAAGCAAAUCUAACUGAUCCACAUCACCUUUAAGCAUCAUCAAGUAGAAUAUCCGAAAUUACUGCUACAAACAGCUCCAAAACCGAAAUUUGUAGCAUAAUUAGUAGCAAAAUUAGGGCAAAUUACCUCUCCCUUGACAAACCGAUCCCAACAAGCAGAUCAAAGCAACCCCCUUCGCCCAUCCAUGCCAUUCCAUACCCUAAAACUCCCCCCCCCAAAAAAGAGAAAAAAUUAAACAAAUUCCACUACAAAGCAUCACUAUUUACUCUCGAUCCACCACAAAAACGAGCGAAAAUAAACAAAAAGGCUAAAAAAUAAAUAAAAUUACCUCGAAGAGCGACGAGAUCGCGAUUCCGAACGGGUCGUAUCGUGGUGAAAGAGGAGACCCUCUUCUUCGCUUCUGGGUUUUUUUUUUAUUUCUAAUUUUUUUGGUUCUUUUAUUUUUAUUUUUAAUAUAUAGCUUUGGAUUAGCUUCGUCACGGUCGCUUUAAUAUCCGUGUUUGGGGAGGAAGAGAGAGAAAGAGAGAGAGAGAGAGAGACAAACGCGGAACGAUUCAGAGUCCCUCGCAGAGAAUCCGAAGUCAAAUCGAGCUUAUCCCGAUGAUCAAAUUACGUAAAUAAAUAUAUACACGUAAUACCAUAAUAAAAUAAAGGCCAAUUUGCAUAAAAAAUUUACAAAUUUUAAGUUUUUACAAAACUGAACCACAUUUUUUAAUUUUACAGAUUCGGACCGAAUUUUUCGCCAUCAGACAAAAGUACCCUUAUUCCUUUUCUUUCUCUCUUUUCUUUUUUUUUCCUUCGCUAUUUUUUUUUUCCGCCACCCGCUGCUGCGCCUUCUGUUGCACCCCCGCCGCCGCGCUCACGCUCGCCCUCGCCGCCGCCUCGCCUACCUCUACUAUCAACCCCCCCUUCUCUCCUUCCUCCUUCUCUCCGUCUGACCCCACUGCGCCCGGAUCUCCCCCCGAUCCUUCCACCCGCGCCAUUGCCACUGCCACAUCCCACCUUCUCCGCUCCGCCGCGCCGUGCUUCGUUGCCGCCACCGCUAAGGGCCCGCAUCUCACACGAUGCCCCGGCCGCCACCCGCGCCGUUGCUGUUGCUGCAUCCCAUCUUCUUCUUAGGGCUUUAGGGAGGAGGAGGAGAAAGAAAGAGGAAGAAGAGAAAGAAAAAAAAUAGUGUAAAUUGUAGGAAGAAGAAGAAAAAAAUAAUGUAAAUUUCACCUAAAUGGUGUAAAAUUGGGCAAAAUUGUGCAAAAUUCAGUAAAAAAUUGGCCCAAUUUUGAUGAGAAUUGCCCAAUUUUGCACCAUUUUGUUUAAAAUUGUACAAUUUUUUCUUCUCCUCCUCUUCCUCUUUCUUUUUCCUUUUUACACCAUUACACCAUUUUUUACAUCUUAAAAAAUUAUAUUUUUUUAACGCUUUCAUCUCCCUCGCCGGAGAGUAGGACUCAGACAGCGAUCUUGAGGUGGACGAGGGAAGCUUCUUCAGCCGGUCGCGCUCCCGCGGGUCCUCCAACUCGAACAACACCACCAGCCUGGACAAGAACCCGCGCCCGGCGUGCUGGCGGAGAGAGGCCUGGUUCGCGCCCGACACCGACGUUGACAGGAUGUCGUAGGCGAUGAGGUGUGGCCACAGCGGCACGAGGGACGCGACCGAGGAGUCGUUGUCGAGGAGGAGGGAUUCUGGAGGAGGGGGGUGGCGGUAACAGGGGGAGGCGUGCGGCGAGAGGGGGCGGAAAAGGUUGGCGGGCAGCAUGGAGAAGAGCGGGCGAAGGAUUCAAGGGGGGAGCGGGCGUCAGGCGAAGCGGAUGGCCUAGGAAAAAAAUGGUGAAGGAAAAAAAAAGAAGAGAGAGAAAAAAAGAAGAAAAAAAAAGAAAAGAAAUAGGGGUAUUUUCGUUCGAUGGUAUAAAAUUCGGUUCGAAUCUACAAAAUUGAAAAAGAUGACCCAGUUUUGCAAAAAUUCAAAACUUGUGGAUUUUUUAUACAAAUUGGCCUUAAAUAAAAUUAAUAUUAUAUUUUUAUAAAUAAAUUUAUAUAAUUUAUUUUAUAAAUUAAAAUAGGGCUACCGUGCUAUUGGAAACACAACACUUAUAUUUUUAACUUUCUAACUAUUCAUCAAUUUUGAUGGACGGUUAGGAUGAGAGAAAUGAGAGAAAUUUAAAAAAAUUCAAAUAGAAUAAAAAUUGAGACAUCUUUUUUUUUUUUUUCUCCCUCUCUCUCAUCCUNNNNNNNNNNNNNCCUAAUCAUCUAUCGUUCAUUUUCACUUUCUCAUCUCGUAGCUUAAAAAAUUUUACUAUAUUCUUAUGUGAUUUAACUCAUUUUUAUUUUGCCACCCUCCUUAAUUUGGCAUAUAUUUUACUUUUUCAUCCUAUAAUUUUUUUAAAUUGUUUACUUUGUCGUCGUAUUUUUUAUAUAAAAUUUUUUGAUAAAAUAAAAAAUUAAACCAAAAAAAGCAGAAUAAAUUUGUUGGAACCACAGAAUAACAAAGUAAAACCGAGCUAAACGCCUAAACCAUAAUGAUAUUAAGGAAACAAUUUGAAUUUUACCGUUGUUAUUAUAUAAAAAUUAAAAUUUAAAAUUUAAAAUAUAAGUAUGUAUGAACAAAAUAAUGAUAAUAAAUUAUAAUUUAAGAUAAGGACUAGCCGCGAAAUUUAUCCCAAAAUAAAAAAAAUAAACUCACAGUUUUAGGUAAAUCGUAAUUAGUGGAGAUAAUAUUAUAUCUGAAGCAAACCAUCUCACUUCCUCUCCGCCGUGCUUUAAGAUUCGCGUCGCCCACGCGAUGAACGGCGGAUAAGGCCACCGUUCUCGCGUAACUUUGGCCACCGUCCUACACCUUCAAGAAGCCUCUCUCCCCACCACCACCACAUCACCUCUUCUCUCAACCGCCGCCCCAAAACCCUUCUCCGAUCCCUAAUCGCCGACGCCCAUGGCGGCGGCGGCGGCGGCGGCGGCGGCGGCGGCGGCGCCCCAUCUCCCCGAGGACAUCGCUCUCUCUAUCGUGUCCCUCCUCGACGUAACCCUCUCUCUCUCUCUCUCUCUCUCUCUCUCUCUCUCUCUCUCUGUAUUACUCUUCUCGAUUCUAUGAUUAUUAAUGGCGAUCGUGUUGUUGUGGUGGUGGUGGUGGUGGUGGGCGAGAAGGUCGUGGACGUGUGCGCGCUGGGGAGUUGCUCCCGCUUCUGGCGCGGGAUCUGCGGCGCCGAUUGCGUGUGGGCCGAGCUCUACGAGCGGAGGUGGCCGAAGUCGGCGGCUUCGGGCGAUGGCGCGGCCGGAUUCGGCGGAGGAGGCCGAGGUGGUGGAGGAGGAGGAGGAGAGUGCUCCGGUGAUGGUGGUGUUGAUGAGGCUUUGUUGGUUCCUACACAGGUGGAGGUUUUUUUAGAUUUAUGAUGGUUCUUUUUGCUAAUUGCGGUGUUAUUUGAAGAGUUAUAGCUUUUUGUGUAGUUGUGUAUUAGUCCGGUACGGAGGUGGAUAUCAAUUCCAUGGAUAGUGCUAGUUCCAAUUUUGAUAAGGGCAUGGGGAUACUGCUGUUCGAUGAAGCGGUGCUUGAGGAGCGCUAAUAUGAAAUGGACUAUUAAACAGAAAUCUCCUUUAUAGUAUCUAUCUGCAGCGGAAUCGGAGGCACGAAAUCGGAGCUUCUGAUUUUGGAUCCCAAAAUCACAUUUCUGCGGCAAGUUCUCGCCACAAAGGCAAAAACCGAAUCGAAGUUUCGGUCAUUUGGUUAUCUUGAAUAAAUUCUCAUCCAAAUUUUAUUAGAUAAAUUUCUUGCUCUUCAUUGUGUAACUUGUAACUUGUAUUAGACAAAAACCAAAUUGUAUAUUUGUAUUAGAUAAAUUUUUUAGCAGUUCUCAUUAUCAUCAAGAAUUCUUCAUUGUGUAACUUGUGUAGAAUCAGGUAGAACCGCUUCUAAGAUCUCAUCCUAAUUGUAUUAGAUGAAUUUCCUGGUUAUGUGCUAUGUGCUACAAAUUGAAAAUUUUAGUUCUCAUUAUUCACAUGAGAUUCUUCAUAAUGUAUCUUGCUUAGUAUCAUGUUCUAAAUGAUUAGCACGUUUCUUCUAAAGUUAAUUUUGUCUUUUAGUACUUCAACCGAUUUGUCAUGCUGCAGGGGUGGAAGGCUUUAUAUGUAAACAAGCACAGGAAAGUGGCCACAGCUAUUUCUGGUGUGGUUGAGUUUGUAGGACAGUGGUCACAGAAUGAGUCACUUGAAAUUGGAAAUCAUUUGAAAGCAAUUUGCUAUCUGAACUCAUUGAAGAUUGGCUUCAAAGAUGUUCAAUUUUUUCUCUUCACGAGAAAGCAUACUGUGCUGCUGAAUCUCAUCGGAUUGCAUUACUCCAUUAUUUGGUUAGAAAUAUUGGUAAGUGAUUUCGCGAAUCUCAAAUGCACAUACCUUUUAUUCAGAUCGAGAUUGCGUCAACUGUUUACUUUUGCAGUGUGUACUACUUUGUGGUGCCUCUUUAGUGAUGUUUUCCUGAUUAGAUCAAACUCUCAAAUUGAACUUGUUCCCUUGUUUCUAUUUUGAAGCUUUAAAUGGUUUAAAUUUGCAGCCAGAAAAAGUAAUGGAAGCUCUAUUGAACCGCCAAAUAUCUGAGCGGCAAGUAUGCGUGAGCUGGUUCAAGCUUGGCCGAUGGUUCUAUGGUUUCCGCUUGCAUGAUGAGCAACGAUCAAAAAGAGUUUCUUUAGGUGAGCUCACAAUGGGCCCGGAGGAAGAGGUUCUUGGUGUGCUCAACCGUGGGGCUGUCCACGAAGUGUUGCGCGUCCAAAUCACAUCCGCCAAAUGAUCAAUAUAAUGAAAUCAAGGUAUCAAGAAACAAAGUAGUAGGAGUUGGUUAUAUGUCACAUUGUAACCGAAAGAUGUAAUUGUGUUUGUGCACUACUGAGGGGCCCCAACAUAUUCGCAUGGUCCAAUUUGGUCUGCAGACUUCAGUUUGUUACAAUCGGAUUGCUAAUGGUUUGGUUACGGACCCAACUGUAAUAACUGAAAGGUUGUGACUAGAUUGAAUCCUCCUGAAAACAUUGGAGACCUGUUGUGCAAUUUACCCUGUAUAUUUAUGUAAAUAAAGUGUUUCAAAUAGUCAAGUUUAAUAAACGGUCAUACAUGUGAAACUUCAUGCUGCAUCUGUAAAUUAUUUUAUGUUGCAUCUGUAAACAACUGUAGCCAGACUUGGUCCUAUGGAAGAAAUUUCAAAUCUAAUGUUUAGUAACUCUUGUUCUCAUAUUCUUACUGAGAUUCAUGUCUUAAUUUUGGAUAUCUUUCUACUACUAAUCUGAAUUGUCUAUUUCUCAUGUGUGAAUACUUGCAGAAAAAUACUUUGUUAUUUACAUAUAAGUCUGUGUGAACUCAGAACAUGAUUGCUCCUAUAGAUUGAUCCUUCAUUAAUUCAGUUGGUAUGACAGCAAUGCCAAAAAGAAAACAGUUGCUCUUCCCUUGGAUUUUACAGUCGACAACAUACUUAUAAUUUUUAUUUGAGAAUCAGGAAAUGACUUUUUACAGAUAGCCAUCAAAAUACAACAAAGAGUAGCAGCAUGAAUUUGGAGAUCUGGAUAUUAUAUUAUUAUGUUCUAUCGAUCCCUGUUCGUCGAUCGUCAAUGAGCUGAUGACGCAAUCGGCACUGCACCACCUUCUUCUGAACUCUUCUUCUCCGAGAUCUUCACCUCACCAUCUAUUUCCUCAAUGGAUAUGGUCUCCUUGAAGUCUACUGAAUUUUGUCCAAUUGAUUCGCCUACAAAUUGUGCCAAAAUAUCAUAAUGAUGAACUACAUUAAGUAAUUUAAAUGCGAGAGAACUAGGUGCAAUCACCUUCUGUUAUCUUUAGUUUAUAGAUAGGAAAAGAAACUAAUGAAUAAUAAGAGGAAAUAGUUUGUGAAUGUUGGUUCAUGUAUAGCAGUAGCAUUGUUCAUUAUUGGAAAAAUAGUAUUGUCAAAAGAGUUUGAAUAUUUUUACCAUCUUCUUCUUUAAGAUCUUCUUUAACAGGAGUCUCAUCUUUCUUGUCCAAUGCUUCAUUGUUCUCUUUGUCCUUGGCCUCUCUAUUCUCCUUCAACCCUUCCUCAUCUCCAUCAUUUUUGACCUCUUUUUUUUCAUCAAACUCCUCAUUUGGUAAAUGGUUUUCAACUUCUUCUGGUAUAGCUUUCAUUUCAAUUUUCUCCUCUUCCUUAUUGGAUGAGGAAUUCUGAUCCGACGGCUCCUCUGGAGUAAGCCUCUCCUCUUCGAUGGCCUUCUCUGAUGCCCCAUUGCUCGCUUCGGUGCUCGCUUCGGUGAUCCCUGCGUUAGUUUGCGUGCUGCUCAAGCUUUUAUCGAUGGAACUGUUGUUUGUCGUUAAAGAUGACGUGCUCUUUGCAGUGCUCGAUUUCUUUCGGAAGAGUUGGCUGGUGCUCACCGUGUUUCCGGUGGCCACUUCCUCUUUCGAUCCCCCACAACCCAUUGAGAUAAGAGAAAGAGAGAGAGAGAGAGAAAUGAACAAAGGAAAAUGAGUUAUAAUAAAGAGAUAGAGAUUGAAUGGAAGAGUGCUUGAAGGAGAUGCAAAGAAGAGUUGAAACAGGGUGAGCUUAUAUAGAGCCUUUUGACAACUUGGACUUAGAAGGAAUGAGCUAUUAUUGGGAAAGGAAAACUUUGUUAACUACAUAACCUCUUCUAACUAAUUUUAGCUAUAUAUGAUGGCUAAGAUCUCUUGGACAAAUCUAUUUUGUUGUCACCUACAUUGUUUCCCUUUUUUAGUUAUGUCUCUCUAAUCAACUAACUUUUUGACUUUUAUGUGAUUCAUUCCAUUUUUUUAAUGUCAUUUUUUCCUUUUUUAGUACCCAUCUCUCAUUGAAAUAGGCCAUGUAAUAGUGUAAUAGCUGUUAUUAAAAAUUGGCAGCUAAGAGUAGCUAAUCCUUUUUCCAUUGUAUGGCAAGGGUUUGGUAUAUUGUGCUUUAUUUUGCUGAAACUGAAUAACCAAACUGAAUUUAAAUGUUUAGGUGAAUUUGGUUCUGUUGGUUGAGAUAUUCCAAAAAUUCCAAUUUUUGGUUUCCAAUUAGAUAGUAGUGAAACCAGGUUGGAUAAUAUUUAUUGGAUCCAGCUACCAAAUCCGAGGUUUGUCGCAUAUAUUUUUACAUAUCUUUGAUAAUUUUCUGGAAGUGGAUACAAUUUGAAGCCAUACAAGUGUUCAUGUAUAUGUAUGUGUAUCAGAAUUUUACAGAAUGUAUUGUAGGAUGUUAACAUUGCACAUCUUUCCCAUGUACUUUAUGAUGAUUACCCAAUUUAUUUGUUCUAUAUUUUGCUGCAGUAUGAUAUUUUUCUUACUAUUGCAGGUAUACACUUUGAAACAAUAUGAAUAUAUUUGAAUCCUGAUUAAGCAAACACGGUUUCAAAUGCCGGCAAAUGUGAGAAGUCCGCAUCCUCGUGUAUUUGGAGCAUGGUUUAUCUGCGGAAUCUGCUGGUAAGUUUUCGCUUUAACAUCUAACAUAUAUUACGCACUUUUUGUUGCAGAUGUUUUCAAAAAAGCUUCACUGCAGAUGCUAGAAAAGCAAGCUGAAAUCAUAUUUUCUGGCCUUUUUGCUCGAAUCUUGACUGAGCAAGCAAAUCAAACACUACAAGGUGAAUAUGUUGUUUAUGUUGGAUUUGGAUUACUCCGUCUUCACUGACCCCAAAACCACCCCCAAAAAAAAAGGGAAAAAAAAGAAAAAAAAAUCUCAGCAAACUGAGUCUUUGAUCUGCAUCCUCUCUGAGCAUAUAUUAAUUCUAAGAAAGACUUGUUGAUGGGCUGAGAAAGUGUCAAAAUGGGGGCCCAGGUGGGCCCAGUGGGCCAGGGGGCCCACCAAAGAGGGGCCCACAGCAAUCCUGUACCAAGCAGCAGCAGCAGAGAAAGUACAAGCUGCAAGCCAAACAACAGAAAAAGGUUAGUUGAACCACAGAUCACUAACCAUUACCCGAUUUGUCACUUCGGUCGUCAACAUUUUGUUUCUUAUAAUUGAGCUCAUAUCGUACGUCAGUUAAAAGUCUCUUUUCUCUACAAGCCUUGCUAAUUUUGACGUAAAAUUGCUGUAAUACUGACGUGACAGGCACAGAUUGGUGUCGAUUCGAUAAUUUCUGUUCGAGUUUAGUGGAUAUUUUGAUUUUGAUCCCUACUAGAUAUAAUGUUACGGAAACAAGAAGAACUAACCAUGGCUCGAAGAAGCCGAGAAACCCGGGGCCCCAGAAUGGCCCACCGGGUCCGGGGCCCCACCCAGGUGGGCCUGCAGGAAGAGGAGCCCACCCAGGCCCACCAGGCCCACCAGGUCCCAUUCUCACCUCCUACUACAAAAACACACAAAGGGAGCAGGAAUGAAUGAAUGAAUGGGCAAAAACUCAUACAUUGCCUUUGGCUCCUUUCACUGUUGGGUUUAUAUAUAAGGCCAUGAGGAUAUGGUGAGCACUAUGCUUUAUCUAACUUGUUAAAAGUUUGUGCUUGAAUAGUUGAUAGCUCUACCAUUCUACAACAUCAACUUGUCCCAUCUACUUAUCUACUAACUACCAUUCAAGUGUCCUCUACUUGUAAUUUUUUUUUUUAAAAAAAAAGGAGAUAAUAUGGCCUUAAGUAGAUUAGCUUUUUUUUUUUUUUUUUUGGAAAAAAGAUAGCACGAUACCCGUUUUAUUUAUUCAGACGAUAAACUAAAUUAUAUGGGUGAGGCAGCAGAGCCUCGAGAUAGGUGAAAAAGUGAAUAGGUCAAAAAAAAAAAAAAAAUCACCACUCCACUAACACUAUCAGGGUCCCGCUACGUGUCAUAAUUUUCCCCACAGAGAUGACAGUGGAUUAAUCUUAUAGAUUCCACGUAUUGGAUCUGCCAUGGAUUUUCUAAAAAUCACUCUAUUUUUGGUCUCCUAUAUGACCCACCAACAAGCUAUUACUCUAAUUAAACCGUUGUGCAUAGGUUGCGCACCCUUCCGCCUUGUACAUAAAUCCCAAAUUAGAUGCGCAUCUUCUCCCAAAUCACUCGGUUGGACAUCCUCUAGAGACAUCACCAUGAGGAAUCUGGAGAACAAGCAUCAAGAAAAAAAGUGAUCAACUGUUUCCGCAUGUGACCCACCAAAUUAGCUGCAAAAAUAGUUGUUCUUGGAAAGAGUAGGCCAUAAGUACAUUAGCAUUAUGUAUUUAGUUAUAAAUACAUAAUACUAACUUUAAUGCCUUUAAUAUAUUUUAAAUUUAAUCAAAUAUUUUAAAUAUAUUUGAUUUUUUUUAUACUGUACAUUAGUUCAUUUUAUUGCUAUAAAUAUUUAGUAAUUUGAUCUGUUAUAGAUACUAAUUUAAAAAAUAAAUAAAAAAUAAACUUACUAAUUAGAUUAAGUUUAAAUUAAUUUGAAUGAAAAUUAUAUUAAAUUUAACAAAACUUUAAAUCAAAAUUAAGUUAGUAUAUUUUUUGAAAAUCCACGGCGUCCCGCGGGAGUGGAGAUUCUCACGCAGAGUUGCACGGGAUUUUUUUGUUUUUUUUCUAUUGGCAGGGAUAGAGACCGGAAGGAACCCUCAAUCCUGAUUUUAUUUGUUAUACUUACUAAUUUGAAAUUUAAAUAGAAAAGAUUAAAUUUAUGUUAAUUUGAAUUAAAAUUAUAUUAAAUUUAACAAAAUUGUAAACAAAAUUAAGUUAGUAUAUAUUAUGAAAAUCCACGAAGUCACACCUCUCCUCCGAGAGGGGUACACCUCUCCACUGAGAGGGGCACAAGAGAAUUUUUUUUUUUUUUUUCCAUUGGCAGAGACAGGACAGGAACGGAGAUUCUAAAAACUCGCAGGGACGGAGGCAGAAAGGGGCCCUCAAUCCCGGCCCCGCCUGGUUGCCAUCCCUAAACAAAACUUCGCAGUUGCGAUAAGAAGGCAACAAAAGAUGAAUUUCGUAGAAUUCGAAAUAGGAAAUGUAGUGAAACCAUACAGGAGAAAAAUGAAGGACAACCACCAGUCCAUCCCUCUCUUAGGAGGUGUCAUUUUGGUCCUCGAACUUUCGAAUUAUUACAAUUUGGUCCUUACAUCUUUGCGAUCUUAUGUAAUGUUACUCGCCUCAUUAUAUUUCUUGACUAAAUUGGGUGGAAAUGACCAUAUCUUGUAUGGUCUUGAUCUAACUAAUGCUUUUAUAUGAACAAAUCAAACCAAAUCUUUUAAGAAUAACUCUGCUCAAUAUAAUUGAUAAAUGUGGGGGACAAAUCCAUUCCAAAUGCAUGUAACAUCUAAAGCUUGUCAACUACACAUGAGUAUUGGGAUUUUGCAAGAGUAUGUUUACAAAUAUGUAUUAAUUUUACUUUCCUCUUUUCGGAAGGGACAAGUAAAUUUAUUGCUCAUUAUUUGCUGCAUUCAACAGAGACUCUUAGGCCCCCAUCCAUUAAUGAGAAUUGGCCCUGUUCUCAACUAAAUUCCACAAAGAAAAAAAAACUAAAUUCCACAAAAAAAAAAAGCCCUAAUUUUAUUUAUUGAUCAUCCACACCUUUAUAUUUAAUAAGCAGAAAAAUAUCUUCCAAAUAAAUAGGAUAUAUAAUACGCCAAUCAUACAUUGACAUAUUAAAUUGAUAUAAUAUGAUGCCCUAUAAUGCAUCGCACUGGAGAAAAGUUUUUUUGUAUAAAAUUUUUGUCUUCUUUCUUUCUUUUUUUUUUUUCUUUUUUCUAGAGAGAACAUAAUGGGGACUUUUUGAAUUACCAUAAACACAUAAUAAUGUGUUAAUUUUAUGAUUUACGAAAAGCCAUAAACAAGUUCAAUCAAAUUAUGAACCCAUUUAAGGAUAUUUUAAAUAUGAUCAUAAGUUGGAAGGGAUAAUUGAUACAUGAUAUGGUAACUUGAAAAUAACACAACAUGACAUGGUAGGACACAACUAGAAAAUAAUUUAAAUUUUUUUAUUUUGUUUUUUUAUUUUUUCUUUUUUUUUAAAUAUGGCCAAGUUGUACUUAAAAUCACUCUUUUUUUAACCAAAAAGAAGAAGAAGAAGAAAAAUUUUUUGGCAAAAUCUAAAACAAAAUUGCCGAGUGGGGAUUCAUUGCACUUUUGGAUAUUUGCCUUUUUCUCAUGCAGGGUACAAAGAUAUUUAUCAGACCCAUAAAAUUUCUAAAUAUAAAAAAAAUAUAAAUAUGAAAGUUAAUUUACAGUGCACUGAGUCCAUCAAAAUCUUUUGAGGUAUGAAUGAGAUAAUUUAAUUGGAUGGUUAAGAUAUGCAUGUCUUUUGUGUUGGGAAAAUACUGGGCUGAAAUCUGAUUGUGAUUAGAAUCUAAUUAGUUUAAUGAUUAAAAUAAAUAAAUCAACUUACACAUAAAUACAUAUAUUUUAAUAAAGAUUUGAUCUUAUCCAGAAACGUGCGAGACACUACCCUAAAGUGUAUUCUCGUCUUUACAUACGGGAUUAACCGGAAAUAACACUCCAAGGUACAACUGAAUUCCUCCUUCUACAAGCACAAUCGUGCAAGAGGAAAAUAAAAGAUGAAAAGAAUUGAUAAAUAUGGAUAAACAUAUAUACUAAUAUUUUUCUAGCUACUCUGUAUUAUUAGAGGAGGAAAAAAGAGGAAGGAAAUUUCACGCUCUUUUUCGUUGCGAGAAAAAAACGUAUCCUGCGCAAUGGAAUGAAAUUUCGUUUUGCUCAAGAAAUGGUACGGGAGAAUAUCCCGUUGAUUUCUUUCUCACUAAAUAAAUAAAAUAAUAAAAAUAAUAAAUAAUAAAUAACAAUAAAUAUUAAAUAAAUAAUUUAAAAUUCAAAUAGAAUAAAAUUCAAAUUUUAAAAUUUUGAUUCUUUCACCAACAUUUCAUGGCAUGUAUGAAACUGGUGCAUGUUGAUUUUUCAUAGGCUAACAAUAGGAUGUUGACUCGAAAAAGUUAUCAACUCUAAUUUGAUUUUUCUCAAAGCCACAAAUGAAGCAAGUGAAAUACAAGGAGAAGCUCGAAAACUUAAUCAGUAAUUUAUUGAGUUUCGAUCCGAUUUAGAGAAAUUCAUUUAGGAUAAAAUGUUUGAAUUUUUUCUUGUAAUUUAGAAAGCUGGCAAUAAUUAUAAGACUCUUAUAUUUAAAUUGAAAUAAAUACAAAAGUGUAACUGUGCAUUCUGAAUUUUUCAAAUAAAAAAUAUAUCUCUCCUCCUCUUGGAUAUAGACAAGUUGUGAACUAUGUAAAUUAUUAUUAUCUUUUCUUUAUAUAUUUAUAUUUUAUUAUUUUUGCUAUUUUUUAUUCAUAUAUUUUUGUUGAAAAUAUAUGCAGAACGAUCGUUAGCCCCAACCACAUCAUUUAACUUUAUCCUAAUGCUUUUUUUUUUGUUAGGGCCUUAAUAAUUCAUUAACACAAUCAAUCAAUAGCAAGACAAAGAAACACAUGGAGAAGGGUCCUCAUGUUCUUUACGACCAUUAUUACUAUAGGCAAUUGCUUUAUUUAUGCUUUUUAUGCCGUAUAUAUAUCAUACAAAUCCUAAACAAAUAUUACCACCGUAUAGAAUAGCUGGUAAGUAUAAUCUUUCAUAAUGAUGCAUGCAUGUUUUAUAACUCGAAUUGCAUUUCUGUUUCAAAAGAAAUGUGUGCGUGUAUACAACCUACAGGCAUCUUUCCAAAAAUUUAAAAAGAAAAAUAGCCUUGCUGCUUAGGAUGAUAAAAGUUGGUACAUAAUGCCACCGUUUGGUCGGGGGUUAAGGGGUGGAAUAACCCCUUAACCCCCAAUUUAUACCCAAACACCACUCUUUUGGGGUGGGGUUAAACCCCACCCCAAACCGGGUUAGUGGGGUUUACUAAUCCCACUUCCCCUCCCAACUUUAACCCCGCACGCAUCCCGAUCCCUCACCUUUUUCUUCUUUAUCAAUCAUUAACCCCACUCCCCCUCCCAACUUUAACCCGGCACGCAUUCCGAGCUCUCACCUUUUUCUUCUUUAUCAAUCAUUAUCUUCUUAUCUCAUCUACUCCAACCAAAUAUUUUUUUUCACUAUCCUAGACUAACUCCAACCUCCAACCAAACACAAAAAAAUUUUAAUACUAUUUUAAUCCUGAACUUAACUCUAUCUCUGGAAUAGCUAUUUUUUCUUAACCCGAACCAAACGGGCGGUAAAUGUCUAAUAAAUUGUGGCAUUAAUUGGUUGUUCACACAUUGUCAUCAAAAAAAUCUACAUGUCUCCAUGCAUACAAGUGUUAGUAGCCCAAAAGGCAUAAACCACAAUGACCUUCCCAGUUCCCAAUAACAGGUCUCUUUCCUUGGUCUGUACUUUCUCCUAGGCUAAAAUGGUGCAGAAUUUGUUUAAAUUUUGAACCAUUUUAAUUUAGAAAAAAUUUCAAAUAUUCUUAUUGUGGCUUCACUCUUUCUCAUUUUAGUACCCGUGGUUUAAAGUGCAUCAAGUUAGUUCCAUGUGGUUUUGCAUUUUCUCACUUUAGUAUCAUGCGGUUUAAAGUGUAUCAAGUUAGUACCAUAUGGUUUCGUACUUUCUCACUUUAGUUUCAUGUGGUUUAAUAUUUCAUUAAGAAAAAAAUAAAAUCACAGGAUACUAACUUGAUACAAAAAUAAAAUCACAGAGUAUUAACUUAAUACACUUUAAACCACAGGGUACUAAAGUGAGAAAGUGCGAAACCAUAAGAUACUAACUUGAUACACUUUAAACCACAGGGUACUAAAAUAAAAAAUUACGAAACCACAGGGGGGUUUUUGAAGUUUUUUCUUAAUUUAACUAAUUAAUUUUUUAAACAUUUAACUUUAUUAUAUAAUUUUUCUGUUUGUUUGAUUUGAGUUGAUCAACGACGCCUUGGCUUUAACAUUUGAACACGUUGCUUAUUUUUAUAGAUUUAUAUGGUAUAUUUUAUGUAAUUGUCAUAAUUAUAAAUUUAGUAAAGUAAGUAAUUAUUUUAAAUUUUAAAGUCAAAAACUUUUUGGCUGAUCCAAAUUAAAAAAAUUUAAAGAAAUAUAGUAAAAUUAAAAUUUUGAAAGAUCGUAUAGUUGAUUCAAAAUUUUUCAUAAUUAAUGUAAGUUUUAAGGUAUAGAUUAAAACUGCCCUCAUAUUUUUUGUUCUUUCUAUUUCAACUUAAAGAUGUGGUUCCUUUUCUAAGGUGGAGAGAAAAACACUAAUUUAUUUAUUAGAAAACAUGUUAUAUAGAAAUAGUUUUUUUUUUUUUUUGAUUUGUUCAUACUCCAAUUCCAAAUAGCUUUUUUUUUAUGGGCAUGUUUGGUUCAAGUUAUCAUGUCAGAAUUACAGGAUUACAAGUAAUUCUGUCAAGAACUCAAGAUUACUACGUUUGAUUUAUUUAGUUUGUAAUAUGGUCGGUAAUAUAGCAUUACAAAUGAUAUAGGAUUAUUCUGAAAAUAUUACCAAGCGGGAGUAGGUAUCACGUAUUAUUGAUGGCGGAUUAUCUUACAUGUUAUAUAAAAUUACAAGUUUACCCCUCUAGCCUCCUAAACGUUUUAAUAUAUCAUUUUUAAAAUUUUAAAUUUAAACUUUCAAAUCUCAAAUUCCAAAUAGCCUUUUUUUUUUCUGAAAGUAUUAUUACAUGUUGAGUAUACAAGAUUAAAAAUAUGGAAAAAUUUCCUCCAUACCCUUAUAAAACCAUCUAAUUUUAUAAAUACCCAUCUAAAAAUUGAUAUCACAACUCAAUUUGAAAAACUUUCAAAAAUAACCCUACCAUCGAAUUUCUAUCUAAAUUAAAGUUAAUUAGUAUUUUAAUUCUAACUUUUCCCCUCUUAUGUAUUCAAUGGUCAAUAAUUUUAUUUCAUAAAUAUUAUCUAUUAUAUUUCAAAAUUAUCUAAGUAAAAUUCAAUUGAUUUUAAUUUUAAAAAAUCAUUCAUUUUAAUUAAAAAUAAAUAUUUCUAUUUGGAAUAAAUUGCAGUUAAAUUAACAAUGAAGCAAAAUAAAAUAAAAUUUAACUACAAUCUAUUCCAAAUAGAAAUAUUUAUUUUUAAUUGUUUUAGUCUGGAUAGAGUUUAUUAAUUUUGAAAUAUUAGAGGGGUAAAGUUGGAAUUUAAAUACUAAUUAACUUUAAUUUGGGUGGAAACUUGAUUGUAAAAUUAUUUUUGAAAGAUUUUCAAAUGCUCGGGGGUAUACAUGAUAUUUUAAUUUUUAAAUAAGUAUUUAUGAAAUUAGAUAGUUUUAAAAGGAUAUAGAGAAAAUUGUUCCUAAAAAUAUUAUCCUCUAGACAAUUUUUGAAAGGAGAGAUAAAAUCACAUGCAAUAAAUAAAUUCUCAUAAUAAGUAAGUUAUUAUUAUGUAUUAAUUCAAAGAAGGAAAAACUUCAAAUAUCCCGUGGUUUCGCACUUUCUUAUUUUAAUACCCUGUGGAUUAAAAUGUAUCACAAGUUAGUAUCAUGUGGUUUCGAACUUUCUCAUUUUAGUACCUUGUGGUUUAAUAUUUCGUUAAAUUAUGUACAAAAAACUUCAGAUAUUCUACCUAGGUUUAUCGAAUAUUUAUUUUAGUAUCAUUUAGUUUUAACCUUGUCACUGAUUUAACUAAAAAAAUACUCCGAAAUAGAUAAUAAAAAGAAAAAAAUAAAACCACAGGGUACUAAUUUGAUAUAAAAAUGAAACCACAGAGUACUAACUUAAUACACUUUAAACCACAGAAUACUAACGUGAGAAAGUGCGAAACCAUAUAAUUUAUAUUUUAAAUUAUAAAGUAUUAAAAUAAGAAAGUACGAAACCACACGUGGGUAUUUGAAGUUUUCCCUUCAAAGAAACUAGCAAUUAUUAUUAUUUCAUUUUCUAAUUAAUAUCACUAAUUGCUAAUGUGGCAAGAAGAAAAGUCAAAUUUGUAGUAACAGAAAAAAAAAAAAAUGUCAGACAGUAUUUAUGAUCUGAACCCACCCACAUAACAGAAAAGAAACCCUUUCCAGACAAGCAUGAUUAAUUUGGUUCACUCAUUAAUUUAUUGCCUCUUUCCCCCAAGGAGAAUGUCAUAGAUUUUUCAAAAUAUGAUCCUCUACAUUAUUUACUAUAUCAACAAUAAUAUAAUAUUUUUAGCCUUUUUAUACUUGUUAAAUUCAUAUAUUAUUUUACGUAUCACUACAUUACAUUACGUAACACUCUAAUAGUCCCAUAUCGAAUAAAAAAAAAAUUAUAAUUAUAUAUGUAAGAGAUCGGAAACCCUAAUUAUAAUAAUCGGGCUUAUGUAUUUGAAUAUGAAUAUCGGCUGGUUUAUGUAUUUGAACAUGAACUUUGAAUUAAAGAAUUAUUGUAAUUGAACACGGUCUAUGGGUGACGUGGCAGACCCGGUCCAUGCAGCUUCUUAUAGUGGAGCGCGACGCACGCGUGGGCCCCGACAACGUAACGUAUCGCCACUUGGGAAACGAAACGCUUCCACGCUACGCAAACCCCACGCGACCCAGUACUGUAAAAUCUCCUAUUAGUCCCUCUACUCUUCUGAUUUUAUGAUUCCAUCCUUACCAAUUCAAAUUCACAUCAGAAAAAAAAAUUUACUAAUCAUUUUAUAAGAAGAAUUUGUUUUUUUUUUUUUAAGGCUAUAAGGGAGGGUGACAAUAUAUGCAAAAUUAUUAUUAUAAGAAUUAAAAGUUGGUUUAAUUCUAUUUUACAAUAAAUUUCAUCAGAAUAAUUAAAUACUACUUGAAUAAUACUAUUAGAAAAAAAAUGUUAUUUUAAAAUAAUUUUGAUAAUUUUUUCAAAAGCAGAAUUUAAAACACCAAAUUAUACAGUUCAGCAAAGAUCACUUUAGUUCUAUUAUAAUAUUGUUUAAUAACAUAUUUGUCCAAAUGCGUGCUACUAUUAUAAAAAAAUUACUAUAAUAAAAAUACUCUCAACAUAUUUUUUUAAAGCAGAUUUAAAAUCACUUAGCUGAAUAUUUUGUUGUUUAAGCUAAUAAAAAUAUCAUUUUUGCUUUCCACUAUAUUUAGUAAAAUCUUUCAAAUUUUCUCUUUGCAAAUUUACAUUCUAUCAGUAAAUAUUUAUAUUUUUAAAAAUAUAUUAGUUAUACAUUUUAUUUAUAAUGUGUACAUCUUAUCUCCACUAUUCAAGUACUUAAAAUUCUUAUUAAUGAAUUAUAAAAUUUUUUAGUAUUAAAAAAAAACUAAUAAAAAUUAAUUUAAAAAUAAUAAUUUUUGUAUAAAAUAAAAUAUAAAAUUUAUACCCUAGUACAUGCAUAUGUGCAAAUAACUCUGCUCAAAAUAAAAAAAUAGAANCAUCCCAUAGACUUCAAAAAACAUAUAUUAAAUUGUUUUAUAAUUGUUUACUCGGCUGUUUUCUCUUUUUACUUUAGUGUCUCAUGAUUUAACUAUGUCAAAUUUGGUGUACCAUGAUUUUACUAUUUCAUACUUUGGUAUAUAAUAAUUUAACUACGUGUAAUUUGGUAUCCCAUGAUUUUCAUUUUUUCAUGCUUUGAUAUCUUUACCAUAAAUUUCUAAAAAGAAAAAAUAAUAAUAAUAAACAUAGUCUUCUUCCAUAUACAUUAGGUUUAUCGAAUAUUUAUUUUAAUAUCCUUUAAUUUUAACUUUAUCACUGAUUUAAUAAAAAAAUUAGUAAAAUGAAUAAUAAAAAGAGAAAAGUGAAACCACAGAGUACUGACUUAAUAUACUUUAAACUAUAGGGUGCUAAAGUGAGAAGUUGCAAAACCACAGGGGCUAACUUGAUACACUUUAAACCACAUGGUACUAAAGUGAGAAAGUGUGAAACCACAAGGGGGUAUUUGAAGUUUACCGAUAAAAAAAAGAGUAUGGGGACGGUGUUGUAAUUACACGAUAGUACAGGGCCCACCAUGUAAAUAAUCCCACAAACUCCCCCGUAAUAUUCGUACCCCUCCUCCCCUGUGUCGUCGUCCUCUUCCUCUCCAAAACAGAGAGAGAGAGAGAGAGAGAGAGAGAGAGAGCGAGGAGGAGCGCAAUGCACGACUCCGACACCACUCCCCAAACCCCUAAAAUGUCGGGGGCGAGCGAGGAGGCCGUGGUGGUCAUCGUCGGCGCCGGGCCCUCGGGGCUCGCCGUGGCGGCGUGCCUGGCGGCGCGCUCCGUGCCGAGCCUCAUCCUGGAGCGCGACGACUGCGUCGCCCCGCUGUGGCGCCACCGCGCCUACGACCGCCUCCACCUCCACCUCGCCAAGCGCUUCUGCGCGCUCCCGCUCCUCCCCUUCCCCCGCGACGCCCCCACCUUCGUCCCGGCCCGCGACUUCCUCCGCUACCUCGAGCUCUACGCCGCGCGCUUCGCCGCGCGCGUCCGCCUCCGCCGCCGCGUCGCCGCCGCUCUCUUCGACCCGCCGUCGAGCACCUGGCGGGUGCGCGCGCGCGCCCUCGACACGGGCGCCGAGGAGGAGUACGCAGCGCGCUUCGUCGUCGUCGCCGCGGGGGAGAACUGCGCCCCCGCCCUGCCCGCGCUGCCCGGCCUGGACGGGUUCCCGGGCCCGGUCCGCCACUCGAGCGAGUACCGCUCCGGUUCGGGCUACGCCGGGAUGCGGGUGCUCGUCGUCGGCUCCGGCAACUCCGGGAUGGAGAUCGCUCUCGAUCUCGCCGAGGCGGGGGCAAAAACGUCAAUUGUCGUCCGGAGCCCGGUGAGUUUUCACUUUUUUUUUUUUCUUUCUUUUCGAACCGGACCGGACCGGUGGCGUUGAUUUAUGCGGAUUUUUUGGGCUCGGUUUUUUUCACUUUUUCUAAUAUUGGAUUUACUUGUCGUUCGUUUUCAGAUUUUUUUGUCUUUAUUUAUUUUUUUUUUGUGGUAAACUACAAUUGGCACCUUUGAUUUAGUUUGAUUUCAUUUUAACACCCGUGGUUCCCUAAUAAGUUUUACUUUACUCCCGUGUGAUUUAGGUUUUUUUUUUUUUUUUUUUUUACUGUGUCAUCAUGUGAUUCAAAAUGGUUUGUUUUUAUAAUUUAACGUAUUUUUUAUUUUAUUAUUCUAUGAUUUUUUAAUUUAUUUUACUUUUCUAUUAUAUUUUAUAAUUUUUUGUCUUAUCCGUGCGCUACCGACGCAUACAUCUGAUAGGACAUGUACUAAUUAAGGCUACGUUUGUUUUACCAAAAAUGGUGAUACAAAAUUCACGUUAAAGUAGAUUUUUAGAUAGAUUGAAAUUAGAUUUUUUUUUUUUUUUUUGGUAGUUUUGUUUGUAUGGCAGUGGAACUUCCAGUUCUACUGAUUACUAAUUACGGAGUGAAUUUAUGACUAUUAUUUUUUAUUUUUUUUUUCUUUUUCAUGAGUGGUUUGAAUUUAUUUAUAUCAUUUUGAAAAAUUCAAGUUUCGAUUGAUUGAAGAUAAAAUUAUAAUAAAUUAAAUAAUAAAACUGCGCAUGUACAGUUCACUUACAGUAAAAUUAGCACACCUUAAUAAUUAAAAAAAUAUAUUAAAAACUUUAUUGUAGCAAUUGCACCGUACCAAAAGUUUUCCAAACUUUUUUUUUUUUUUUUUAAGAAAAAUAGGUAAGCACGCUACUCGCUUCGUUUAUUUUAUUUAGAAAUAAAUUUAGUAAAAAAAUAUGAAUCAAUUAGGAUUCGAAUUUAGGUCUCGAGUAUCAAUCAUCAAGUCCUUUACGACUUGCUCUAGGGACGGUCGAUCCAAACCAAUUGGUUCUUUGCCACUCGCUUUAGGGACGGUCGAUCCAAACCAAUUUUAUUGUGUCAUAAGAAAGAGGUUGUUUGCCGAUAAUAUACACUAAUUUAAUGAUGAAAUAAUGUUUUAUAUCUUCGUUUUUAUUAUGCAUGUGCGCAAUGUAAACAAUUUUUCGUUAGAUGUUAACGGGAAUAAUUGUGACGGAAUAAGACAUUCUAACAUCUUCGUCCAGCUCGACAAAGAAGCAAAAAGCAAGAAGCAAAAGCUGGUAACAUGAAAAUAAAGUUUUUUUUUUUUUUUUGAAAGAUAGGUAGCACGCUACCCGCUUCGUUUAUUUCAUUUUAGAAAUAAACUUAGCUAGAAAUGUGAAUCAACUAGAAUUCGAACUUGGGUCUCGGAUACCAACCAUCAAACCCUUUGAUACUUACUCUAGGAACGAUCAGUAACAUAAAAAUAAAGUUCUUACAACUCUUUAGGCAUGGCAAUUCUUCCGGUGGACCCAGAUUCCGCGACGAUCCGCCCCGAAUGAAACGGGAAUAGUACUUUGUCCCUGCAGGGACAGGGACGAAUAAGGAAUUCUCCCUGCCUGCGGGAGGGGACGGAGAGAAUAAGGCGGGUCGGAGAUACUACUCCGCGCCCUGCAAAAUUCCCACUCGCUAUAAUCUCUAUAAUAAUAAUACAGAGUCCGGCUACUAUACUAUAUACUGUUAUGAGUAUAGAUUUUUUUUAUACUUAUAAAUUUUCGAUCGUUAUAUUUAUUCUUUUGAUUAUUUUUACUCAUUAGAUCAUACUAUUUAAUCAACCACUACUCAACUCUAAGGGAUCACUUAUUUAUUUUUUUUAUUUGAGAGAUAGGUAGCACGUUACCUGCUUCAUUUAUUUUAUUUAGAAAUAAACUUAGCUAAAAAUAUGAAUUAACUAGGAUUCGAAUUUGGAACUUCGGGUACCAACCACCAAGCCCUUUGCCACUUGCUCUAGAGGCGGUUGGUCUAAGGAAUCACUAUUAAUCUAACUGGAGCCAUUUUUAUUCUAACUACACAUUCUUUCAUUCAACAGUCAAAAAUUUAUAAAUGUAAAGAGAUUUAUAUUCAUAAAAGUAUAGUAGCCCUAGCCUACAUAUUACUGUAUAAAUUUUUUUUUAACAUAUUUUUAAUUUAACCAAAUAAUAUCCGAUUGAUAUAUAUAUAUAUAUAUAUAUAUAUAUAUAUAUAUAUAUAUAUAUAUAUAUAUAACUUAAUAUAUUAUACUUGAAAAUUCAAUAAAAAAUAAAAAAUACUCAACGAUUAAAUAAAAUUUUAAGUUAAAUAAAAAAAUAAUUUGUAUAUUUUUAAAAAUUUGCGAGAUUUCCGUGCGGGGUGCGGAUGAGAAUUCCUACGGAUACGGGUACGGGUACGGGUACGGGUACGGAGACCCUAUAGACCCAGUCGGGGUAUAGAGAAGGGCAUCCACUCUCGGCCACGCCCGAUUGACUUGGACUCCUAGCUUGAUUUGGGACCCAUUUGGGCAACCUAACCUUGCCCGAUUGUUGUUGGGAUUCGUUGACAAAACGGGUCGGGUUCGGUUGGGUCCAAGUCAACAUAAUGACUCACUAACAGGUGGAUAACAGUGUCGUUUACGUGUCGUGUAAGCGUCUUCGACUAGGACGUACGGAUUAAAACAAUGGAAUACAAUUGGAUUGAUAACUAUGCAUUUAUAUUCUUCUUUGAUUACGAAUAUUAGUUAAAUGUAUAUUCAAAAUAUUAUUUCGAUAACAAUUAUAAAAAUAUAUAUGAACUGAAAUAAUUAGUGAAUAAGACAUGUAAUUGGUCCAAAGAUUCACGUUGUUGUUAUUCAAACUAAGUAUAUCUAUAUUUUUUUAUCCAGUAAAAAUUUAAUAUUUUAACAAAUAUAAAUGUAAUUUUAACAGAAAAGUUAUAGUAAAAUAAGAAAAAUAAGAUAGAAAAUCACUUUAUUUUCCUACAAUAUAUAUUAAUUAAUAAUGUUCCUUUGAUCGCUUAGGGGUGAAAUUGGUCGAAUAGAUUGGAUUUUUUAAGAAACUAUAUUGGGAUCCUUCUUUUUUACGCAAAUUCAAAAUUGUAGAAUGCUAAUUUUAACGUCCAUGUUCGCAUCUUAUCGAAUUCGGUGUCGAAUUCGCUUGGAGUUUAUUCUAACCACUUUCACUCCUACUCGGACGUGUGUUUUUUUUUUUUUUUCAUUUGUUAUGGAUUUAAUUAUAUUUUAUUUUUCAUUUCUUUUACCUUCUUAAAUUAUACUAUUUUUUAAGGAUAUUUCUGAAUUAUUCUUCUUUUUAUCUUCUCUACUCUAUAAAUAAUAAACUUACAAAAAAAUAAUUAUGAGAAAAAAUAACAAAUACAAAAAUUCAAAAUAAAUCUAAAAUAUUAAAAAUUAAUAAAAAAAUAAGUAUAAUAGUACUGUUGACAAAAAAAUAAGUAGUAUAUAAUAAUAAUGUAGAAAAUAAAAAUAACAUUAUAGAACAGUGCACUUUAUGUAAUUAGACCUUCUCUCAGAAUUUGGUGGGUGUGGGUCGGUCAACCCCUUUAACAAACAGAUUGGUUACGGGUCAAAGGAUCUUUGACCCGCUAAAAAGGUGGGGCCCAUGGGGUUCCUUUGAGACUUUUAUUAUACGUACGUACCUUACAUGUUAUCCGUGCUCGGAUCUCACCGGGUAUGGGUAUUUGAGAUUUUUUUUUUUCGAAUCCGUAUCCGAAUGUGGACGAGUUUAACCGAUGUUAAAUUAGUACGAUCUUGAUUAUUGGGUAUAGAAAUGAAAAUUCGAGUAUAUCACUUUUGGUUAUAAUUUUUGUCUGUACUCAAAUCGAACUUGAAAAUGAACCCGGCUCUGAAGUCAAACCCAUAUUAAACCUAUUUUAUGUAUCUAAAAUAUAAUUAUUUAGACGUUUAUACUAAUAAUUGAUGUAUAUUUGUGGUUUUAAUUUAAUAUUUAUUAUAUUAAUAACCAGGUUUGAUUUUUUAGUUUAGUUUUUGUUUUUCGAGCUUGGUUUCGGGUUUUGCAAAAACCAUUCCCCAACCGAUCCAUCGACAUUCCAUAACAUUCUACGGAAAAUAUGCAAUUAGGAGACAAACUCACUGUAUUCGAUUAUCAUGUCCUCUAAUAUGUUUUCGUCUUGUCUUAUUUACCAAUUUUUCUUAGCUAAUGUGAAAUAACUUCUGGUAGCUUAAGUUAUCAGAAUACAGUAUAAGCGGGAUUCAAGUUCAUAUAUAUAUUUCUUACUCUAAUAUUAUGUUAAAUAAUAUGAUAUGAAACAGUUAUUAUUGUUUAAAAACUUACGCCACAUGAGAACUAUAUUUUUAAUAUUUAUUUUCAACAAUAUUUUUAGUAUGAAUAACUUAGGUGCGUCAUUUUUGGUUGCAGCUUCAUAUUUUGUCAAGAGAGAUGUGGCUUCUGGGCAUGAUUCUGACGAAGUUUUUGCCGGUUCGUCUAGUGGACGCAUUCCUUCUUUUUCUUUGCUAUCUGAAGUACGGGGACACAUCAAAGUACGGUAUAAGAAGGCCGGCAAUUGGACCGUUUGACAUGAAAAUAAACACCCCUCUUUAUCCGGUUUUAGAUGUCGGCACAUAUGAUAAGAUCAGGAGUGGAGAAAUUCAGGUAAAUAUAUAUAUAGCAUUUUUUAUUUAUGUAUCGAAUUCACAUAUGUAUUUGUUAGGUCAUAUUAUGCCAUGCUAUUCGUAUUUACGACUUAUGUCGAUCGAGUUCAAAGACAUCUUUUUCAGCGAGACGUAGUUCAACUUUAUUAGUUUCAUAUCAACUCAGCUGAUUAUACUGUUGGCUUAAAUAAGCCAGCAUCUUAUACUGUGACCGAGUCACAAUCGAGACCUGUGGGUGCUGUGUCUAAAUGGUUUAAAUGAAUUGGCAGCGUAUUUAUACAGACUCGAGUUUAUGGAAUUAAUGGUUUAGUGCCAAUGAUCCUAUGUAUAUGAAUUCUCGAUAAGCAAAUAUGCUUUCUUUGUAACCUUUGUUGUUUCAGUAAUGUGACUAUGUUAUUUUGAGAUCCAUUUAGUGCGUGUAUAAUAUCAACAUGUCUCAAUUCCUAUCACCCAUUGAGUUGCAACCUAUAAUCUACUCAGAAAUUGGGUGGUUUAGAUUAAUGAAAUUAUUAUGAGAUGUGCUCCAGGAAUGAACAGAUGCACCAGGCGCGGACAAUAAUUAUUUCUCUUCAGAUCGGAAUUAAUAUGAGGCAUUUUUCGAAAGUUUAGUACUACAAUUACCCUUUUUUUUUAUCUCAAAAGAUUAUGUAUAACAUGGUUAAAUAACUAGUCAUACCAUCAAUGAAUACCUAUGAUCAUUCUAAAUCGGUAAUCUACAAUUAUUUUGGUCUUUUAUUUUCGUUCAAAUGAAAAUGAAAUGAACUAACAAGUGCGUUACUCGAAAUCAUGUCCAGGUUUUACCAGCUGUGUCGAGCGUGAAAGGCAAUAAUGUGGAAUUUUCCGAUGGCAAUUCGUAUCCGUUUGAUGCAAUUAUUUUCGCGACGGGCUACAAGAGCACAAUAAAAGAAUGGCUACAGGUAUUGAACCUUGCGUUACAUCAUAUUAUGUUUUGAAAUAGACGCUUAUUAGACUUUAGAAGUUUUAAUAUUACGAGUCCAAUCUAAGAGUAUCACGAAUUUUACAGCAUAUUGUAAAUGAUAUUUAUAUAGCCUUUCUUGAUGAUGCAUUAUCCUACGAUCUAACGGAAUAUUCUGCUACUUUUCUUUUAUAGUUAAUUUUAUAUAGGUUCCUGUAAAUAUAUCAAAUAAUAGAUAAAUCCUUACAAAAUUUUGAUGAUUAGAUUUAUCUCUUUAAAAAUUUACUAGUUUGCAAAUAUGUUUCUCGAAAAGUUCUGAAGUUAUGAGUCGCUCAUAUAUGUCUCCGCUGUUGGCAUUGAUAGGGUGAAAGUGUAAAAUAACUAUUUUGCUCUUAUAAAUUUAUUUUUACAAAAAAUUAUCUUUCUUUCUCUUUCUCUCUCUCUUCACCUUUGCUGCGGCAUGUGUGGCAUGCCACAUUUUUACCACCCCGCCUUCGACGUCGCUGCCAUCGAAGGUCUCGCUGUUGCAAUGAAUAAAAAGUAUCGCAAUGGAUAAAGAGUAGAGGGUGAGAAAGAUGACGGGACUCAACAUUGAAAUAUAAAUUAUAUAUAUAUAUAUAUAUAUAUAUAUAUAUAUAUAUAUAUAUAUAUAUAUAAGGAGUAAAAAAUCAUUUUACUCCUUCGCUAACUGCGGUUAAUCUUUUGUGAGCAGAAUAAUAUAUUUGCAUGCGAGAGAAUUGUUUGAUGAAUAAAUCUGAUAACUUAAGUUUUGUAGGAAUAUGUUUAUUAUUUGAAGCCAUAUGCAAUUAUCUCAUUCUUUUAUUUGUAUACAUGCAUUAUUAUUGUUUGCUAAGAAAUGAAAUUUGGAUUACUCUUGUGUUUAGAGUGAUGAGUAUUUGAUUGGAGAUGAUGGGAUGGCCAAGCAAAAGUACCCAAACCAAUGGAAAGGGAAAAAUGGGCUUUAUUGUGUGGGUUUAGCAAGAAGAGGACUCUAUGGCACUUCAGAAGAGGCUCAACUCAUAGCUGAGGAUAUUAGCAAGGAAUAUAAUAAUAAAUAUAAUAAUAAUGACAAAGGUAACUAGAUAUAUAUAUAUAUGGUGCAAUAAUAAUAAUAAGUUAGAUAUAUGAUGCAAUAAUAAGUGAGAAACUAAUAAAACAUUUAUGAUCAAGUACAAUGGGGAUAUAAAUGUAGUUGUAUGGUGGGAGUGGAUAUGGUUAUGGUUAUAUUUGCUAAGACUAUUUUUAAGUUGUUUCUUUUUAAAUUAUAAGGAAAAACUUCAAAAACCCCCCAUGUGGUUUCAUAGUUUCUCACUUUGCCUCUCUAUGGUUUAAAAUGUAUCAAAUUGCCCCUCCUGUGGUUUGUUUUUAUCUUUUCGGUAGCUUUUUCGUUAAUAUUUCAUUAAAUUAUAUACAAAAAACUUCAGAUACCCAUCUAGAUUUAUCAAAUAUUUAUUUUAGUGCCCUUUAAUUUUAACUUUAUCAUUGAUUUAAGAAAAAAAAAAUAAUGAAAUUGAUAAAUAAAAAAGAGAAAAAAGAAACCACAGGGGGGCAAAUUGAUACAUUUUAAACCACAGGGGAGCAAAGUGAGAAACUACGAAAUCACAGGGGGUUUUUGAAGUUUUUCCUAAAUUAUAUAAGUGGGUCAAUAUUUCUUCUGAUUGGCUAAAUUUGCAUAUGAUAUAUUAUUUUUUUUUUUUCAUAUACUUAUCAUGCUCAAGACUCAAGAGUGAGGGUAAUAAGACUGUUUAUGUGACAUUUUGAGUGUAUUCAAAUUUUUAUUAAGUAUUAUUUAUUAAUCUCUUUGUAGCCGAGUUUUGUUGGACUACUAUUGGUAGUAAAUGGUGUGAUUUAUUACUGAUUAUGUUUAAUUAUAGAGUAUUUAAAUCGAUGAUCGAUACCGUUGAACAUAAUUUAGAUUAUUUUUAAAAAUUAAAGUUUAUGCUUUUUUGACAUAAUUAAUCAAACGAUCAAAAAGUCACAAAAUAAAUUUGUAAGUUUUAGGUCACAAAAUUUGUAAUUUUUAAAGACCGAUACAAUGUGUUUACUUGUUUGAAGAUAUAAAAGAUUUUAAAUUAGCUGGAUUUUUUUUAGAAUUUUUUAAAAAUUAUUUAAAUAAGAUCUAAGCUCUAAAUUUUAGCUACAAAAAAAAUCAAAUCAUUACUUUUGGAAGGAUAUUCUUUUUCAUGCAUUCAUUUUUAUAUCCAUGCAUAAGGAAAUAACAUAAAAAAAAUAAAAUAAAAUUUGAUUUUUAGACGGUUUAAAUGGCAUAGAUCAUAUUUAAUUAUGCCGUCUAUUUGGAAACUCUAUUAUAAAAAAUAUUGUAUUUUUUCUAACUAUUGAACUUGCACAAAAAUACUGGAAAUUAGUGGAGUGAUAUUAAGAACCAAAAGAAAACUUUUUCCAAAAUCAAGCAAAUACUCUUCACCAAUGACACACAAAAAUAUCAAUGUCUAAAUUUACACCCCUUUUUAGAGUGUAUAUGAGUAGAAUUUCUCAAUUUCAAAUCAGUUUUCAAGAGUUUUAGUAUAUUUUUACAAGAUUAAGAUUAUAGAAUAUUGGCUAAAAGGGUCGGGUUUGAGAUCUUAUGUGAACUUAGGGACUUUUUGAAAGCAGAAAGUUAGAAAGUGAGAAAUUUGUGAAUUUCACGAACUCAACUUCACCCCUCACCUCACCGAAGUCAAAAUGUUAAUCUCUCUAUAAUCGUGAGCGGGAGUUUCGAUGAUCUUGCGACUUCAGAGUUGAAAGAGCUACUGAUCCUCAUCGUUUUGUCAGAGCCACGAAUUCAACUUUCGAAAUCCUAAAAAACAAACAGGAGCUUAAAUUUGGGAUUUGUGUGGCUUACAUCAGGAUUAAUAUGAGAGUUAAAUACUAAUGUACCCUUCCUAAGUUUAAAAAUAAAUAAUAUAUUUCUUCAAAUUUUAAAUAAAUAUGUAUAUUCCUUUAAACUUGUAAUACGAAAAUACCAUUCUGAUUAAGUUUUUGUCCAUUUUUUUAAAUCCUUCUUGGUUUUUUUUUUUUUUUUUUUUUUUUUUUUUUUUUUUUUUUUCUCUUUUCGUGCAAUCUUUCAUCUUAGCUUCCAAUCUGAUCUACUAAAAAAAAUGACCCUAAUCGAGAGGAGUAUCUCUUACCAAAUUUCUAUUUUUUCUCUUUUCAUUCAAUUUUAAAUUACUCUAUAUCAAGAAAAGAGGAGUAAUUGGCUUAUUUGAAAAGAAAAUGAAACUGAUUUAGUAGGCGGAAAAUAAAAAACAAAAGAGAAAGAAGAGAGGAAACUAAAGAAUUUAAUGAAAAUUGAGAAAAAUUUAAUUGGAGAUAUUACAAAUUUAGAGAGAAAUACAAAUUAAUUCAAAAUUUGUAAAAUAUUUUUAAACUUUAAAGGAGUACACAAUUAUUUAACCCUUAAUAUAAUACUAGUGUAGUGAUUCGCACAUUGUGACGAAUAAAUACUGUUGAAAAAAAUUACAAAAAUAAAAUACCAAUAAAAUACAAAAAUAGCAUACAAAGAUCAUAUUAUAAAUAAAAAAAAAGCUAAAUUACGAUUAAAAAAUUAAUAAUUCAAAAGUAAUCAACCGUGUUAAAAAAAAAUUACAUAUCAUGAAAAACUUUGCUUUUCUAAGCUUUCACAAUAAAAUCAUCAAAUAAAAAUGGUAUAACAAUUAUGACAUGUUAAAAGAGUAUCAAACUACAGGGGUCUGGCUACUAUACUAUUAUUAGUACGAUCACCCUCGUACUCAUAAGUUAUUUUCGAUGAUAGAGCUUCCGAAUCGACGAUCCACACCGUUAAAUGUUAUUUACAGCAUUUAAAACUUCUAGAAAUCAAAUUUUAUAAUUUUUCGACAUCAUUUACCGUACGAUCAAGAGGUCACAAAUUUGACAAUUUUUAACGGCCGGUAUGGGAUACUUGCUAGUUUAACGGUGUAAAAGAAUCAGAAUUUGUUAAAUUUUUGAUAGAAAAUUCUAUUCACUACAUAGAUAAAGAUCAAUAAAUCCGAUCUUGAAUUGAAGGAUCUGAUCAUCCUUUUUUAGGACGUCGUUCGAUUUUGACCGUUCAUUUUAUGCCCACUUGAUGGACUUUAUUAUGAUUUCGAAAAUUUACGAAAUUUAUUUUCUAGAAGUUUUAAAUAUUCUAGAUCAUAUUUAACAGAGUGGAUCGUCGAUUCGGAAGCUCCAUCAUUGAAAACAAUUUAUGAGUACGAGGGCUCCAAUACUCAUAAUAGUAUAGUAGCCAUGGCCCAAACUACAAUAGUCAAUCAAAAAUCUAUCGUUGUGGCCAUGACCCCUACUAUGCAUUAUUUCUAAAUUAGAAAAUAGAUCGAUCCCUAAAUAGAGAAAUCCAUUGAGAAAGGGCUUUUGGAAACAGGUAGGGGAUUUAGGUUAUCACAACGUCGAAAGAUGGAAGACAGAAAGUGGUGAAGAAGAGAGUAAGAGAGUGCUAUAGAUGAUAGCUUUGAAUUUCAUUAAGAAUGUGCUAGGAUAAUGGAUUACAAAGAGAGGGGAUGAGAAAAAAAAAUAAUGAAAUGCAAAGAGAGGAUGGAAAAGAGGGCCCCCUCCCCCCAAUAUUAAGGGGAUGAUGCCACAUAAGAUUUUAAUCAAAAAAAUUCAUAUAUGUUAAUAGAAUAGAUUAAUAAAUAUAGAUAUUUUGAAAGGUCUGUGAAUCCACAUGAAACUGGACCUAUGCUGGAAAAAAUUCUAGAAUGCAUCGACUAUAUUGAUGAUGUGGCGUCUCAAAUCAAUCAAAUAUUUUUUUUUUAGAUUAUUCAUCACAUCAUGAUUAUAAAAAAUAUUUUUAUUAUUUUUUUUAAUAAUGAGAUAUAUGGUUGACUUGUUAUUGAUGAUGCCGUGUAAGUGUCACAAAGUAGACUUCCUCCCACCACGCUGGACUGUGACGUUGAAAAUUAAACCGGGCCGGAUCCAAGCCCGGUUCUGGCCCGGCCCGGUCGGGUCCCGAUCACAGUGAGCGGUAGAGAACGAGUGGUGGUUCAUCUCCGAAGCAUCGCGAGCGCUCACCGCGAACUCUUCUUCUUCGACCCUCCUCUCCGCUUCUUCUCCACGAAGGGGUCGCCUGAGGUAAAAGCUUAGGGUUUCUGAGCCCUCCUCUCUAUCACCUCUUCUUUGUUUUUUGUAAAAUUUGUUGAGAUUUUGUUCCUUUGAUAUGCUCUAUAGGAUCAGAUCGAAGAUUAGGUUCCAAUAUUUCAUGUUAAUUUUGGUUUAGAAAGGUGUUUGUGUCUUUUAUUGCUAUUGAAUCAUGAGGUAUAGAGAUGGGAUUUUUUCGUAUUGGGUUUUUGGAUGAAGUGUAUGUGUAGCCCCUGAAUCGAUCGUGAUAAUAUUUUGACAUGGUCCCUGUAAUUUUCACUCGAAUGCUUUAGUCUACGCUGCCUUUUAGUCUUAUUUUGAAAAAAAGAUAUGAAAUUAGUGUAUCAUUUUACAAAUGGAGGUAAAUUUCUCAUUUUGUAAAUAAAAAAGAAGCAAAUUUUUUUUUUUAAGUCGGAGAUUAAGGGACUAAAGUGCAAGAUAUGUGAAAUUUCAAGGACUAAUGUAUUUAGAAAAGUAAGAUAUUCUAUGAAUGCAGUUUCUAAAUAGUUUUGUUUGUAUGCAUUCCUUUCAGAAUUAGUGCCUGAGUGGAAAUUAUUUCCCUCUUUUUUGAAUAAAUGGUUGAGAUAACUUGCCUGUAUUUCUGCGACUCGGUCAGUAUUCGACACUAACUAGUUAAGGUUUUCUAAACUUGGCUUUACUUUUUCUUUUUUUUUUUUCUUUUUUUUUUUUUUUUUUUUUUUUUUGUUUAUUGCUCAGUACGAUGAAGUUGGAGAAUUGAGUAUUCAACCAGCCUUAUUUAGUCUUUGUUUGGUCGAAGUCGUCAUCUUUGUUUCCAAAGAUGAGAGAGCUAGUUGUAUAUAUUUCUCGUCCUAUAUGUAGUAGUCCUUAUUGUUUAUGAUUAGCUUUGCUUGUUUUUUUUUCUCAUGUUUUCUACUUUUCAUAGCCCUAUUCUGUUCAUUUAUAGAUCACAAAAAAAAAAAUGGUGAAUGCCGUCGCUGUUCUGGGUAGCAACGAGGGUGUCAAAGGCACAAUCUACUUCACCCAGGAAGGAGAUGGUAGAUAUAAUACCCAAUCUCAAGUUCAUUUUCAUUGUACUAUUUACAAAAUUUGACAUAGAUGAUUGCUUCAUAUGCCACUUUGUUUUUCUCUUUCCCCUUGUUUCAUUGAUUUAGGUCCAACAACUGUGACUGGGAGCAUAUCCGGCCUCAAACCGGGGCUUCAUGGCUUCCAUGUCCAUGCACUUGGUGACACUACCAACGGCUGCAUGUCAACCGGUAAUUAUCUUUACUAUCGACACGUCAAUCGUAUCAGAGUAGAAGUCAUUAGUUGAAAUUAUAAUAUUUCUGAAUCUUGACGUUUCUUUCUUUUUUCUCUUUUUCCCCCCUGAUGCAGGGCCACAUUUCAAUCCUGCUGGGAAGGAACAUGGGGCGCCCGAAGAUGAGCACCGCCAUGCUGGUGAUCUCGGAAAUGUGACUGCUGGCGAGGAUGGUAAUGCAGCUACUGUUCUAAUACUAAUUAAAAAAAAAAAAAAAAGCGGUGCAUGCAACAGCUUAUGCAGGUGGUCACUUGACUUCACAGGACAUACCUUAGCCACUUAAAGUCUAGGUGCCACUGUAGACUACCUGAGCAAUUACUGCUAUGUAUCUUAGGUAGACGUGAGUAGGUUAAACAUGGCAUAUGGCUAAUUACCUGAUUAAGAAUUGAUACAAUCAACUAUAAAAUCUUGUUUUUAUGAUUAGUUUGUGCUUAGAAUAUUGCCCCGUACUAAAAAAUUUGGUGUAUUCUUACUAUGCUACCAUACUAUAAUAGAGUUAAUUGGGACCUCAGAUGUAUCCUAUUGUUUCAUUUUCUUGAUUUUUAUUAGCUCUCCAAUUUUUAUUUGGUGUGUACAUUCUUUGUCUUCUACUUCAUUUCACAAGUAUAUUAAAUGCAACCUACACUUGCCGCAUGUAAAAUUGCUCAUGCAUCUGGUCAUUGCCAAGAACUAUGCAGUAUGUUGAUUGCUUGCAUGCCUUUGCCGGUGCCUUUGUUAAUAUUGUUCAUGAGGCCAUAAAUCACACCUAAGGAACUGCCACUCUAUUUUUGUUUUCUUUCUUUGUUCUACUCGCAUCUGCCAUCCUUGUAAUCUUCCGCUGUUAACAGCAGUUCUGAUAUUGGCAUAUUUUCAAAUGUCAGGCACGGCUACUUUCACUAUAGUGGACAACCAGGUGAGUAAUUAUUAAUUUUCCUGUCAUCUUAUUCUUCUGAAGCUCUUCGAAAUUCUCCGGUUUGAUUUUCUCAUUGCAGAUUCCACUUACUGGACAAAAUUCGAUCAUCGGGAGAGCUGUCGUUGUUCAUGCUGAUCCUGAUGAUCUCGGAAAGGGUAAUCUCUAUUAGUUUAAUUUUUUUCUGUGAAUUCUUUCAGCUUAUUCUCGUGGGAACUGAUUUAGUUUUGUCAGAUUGAUUUCAGUAUAACCUUUUAGAAGCUUACAAAGUUAUAUUACAUUAUUUUAAAAUUCCGAUAAUGUAAACCAGACUAGUAGGUGGUCCAUUAUCCACGCUCAUACUUUUGUGAUCAUCCUAAUGUUCUUCCAUUGUGCGCUGCACGUGGAUAGUGAGAAAAAGCAAGAGGACAAAGUGUCAACUUUUUAUGUUGUUGUAUAUGGUACUUUAAGUGAUCGUUCUAAAUGCAGUCUUUUACAUUCUGUCUAUUGCUAUAAUUAGAAACAAAACUAUGCAUCCUUCAAAUUUAACCUGUCGUGCUCUGUUGUUUUAGGUGGACAUGAGCUUAGCAAGACCACUGGAAAUGCUGGCGGAAGAGUUGCUUGUGGUGGGCUCCUUGUUUCCUUUGCUACAUGUUUAUCUUUCCUGAAAUUUCAACAAAUUGCCAUUUGCGAUUUGGACCCUGAAAUUUUACUUAAACAGCGUACUCCCAGAACAUAGCACCUAUUAUCUUGCGGUGUUGUGCCUGGGUGAAGUAUCUGUCGGCUAUUUCUUGUAUCUGCUAGAAAUUGAGCAUAUGGCGUAUAAAGAGACUAUUGAUGGACUCAAAAAAAAAAAAAAAGGUGAAACAUAGAGAUGGGAUUGCAAGGAAGUAGGAAUUUUUAAGGUGUAAGAUUUAACUGAAAUAGUUGGGCACCAAGUUACAAUUAUUUGAAGCAUCUCAUUUACCUCUUUUACAUCACAGGAUAGGUUCUAUAUUUUCUGUCGUGCUAUUACACUUUGUAUAAUUCUGCUUCUCACAUUUGCAUCCUUGAAUUUAACUUUGCUAAUCUUUUAAACUUUUAUAUGAAUUUCCAGGCAUUAUUGGACUUCAGGGGUAGGCCCAGCUCCUACAAUACAUUGACGAGAAGUAAAUGGGGGAAAAGAUUUCUCUUGUACUUGGAACUCUCUUUGAAGUUUCCCUUUAGCUUUGUGCUGGAACCAUUAGAUACGUAAUAUUUCAGUUAGAAACCGUGAGCCUAAUGAGUUUGUAAUUGCUGCUUGUGUUUUAUCUUUAACAUACUCUUUUACUAAGACAUAAAUAAUUAAAUUCUAUCCUGGUUUAAUGUUGUUCCUCUGAUUUAAUAACCUUGAUUUUCGCUUUAUGAGCUGCUGAAUCGAAUAGAGUAGAGCUAUUUGAAGAAGCACUGUAACUUCAAAAUCUUUUCUCGUGUAAAAAAAUUUAUGUACGAGCCAAACAUUUGUCCUACUAACUUUCCCCCCUUCAUAUGAACUUUCCAGGCACUCUUCGAGCGCAGGGAUCGGCGCGGCUCGUGCCAGAUACUGAAGAGAGUAAAGCUAAGAACAACAACCUUCUUAUACUCUGGAACUAUCAUUGUUGGAAAACUAAGGCAUAUGCUUGAGUUGAGUGAGGAUCAUAAUCUUGUGCUAUAUCUGUAUACAUACUAUUUUUCCCUAAUAAAUUUGUUUCUUGCUCAGCUUUCAUUCUUGUGCUGUUAUUCCCUAGGCCCAUUUUCACUCUAUCAGAAAGAAUUUCUUUUUUUUUUUUUUUUUUUUUUUUGAUGCUGUUCGGAUAAAGUUGUUUGGAGAAGUAUUUGUAGUUUUUGUACUUAUCUUAAAAUUAAUUCAAACUGCUUUCUUCUUAAAAUGAAAAGUAAAAUUUUCAAUUUGGAGCUGUGCGUGAUUGUAUCAUUGCGAGGGCCAUAUUUUUCACUAACAAAACAAUCCAUUGAAGCCCACUCACUAUUUAUUUCACUCUGAUUAGAGUUAAAUUAUUUAUUUUCUGUGCAUAGUAAAUAUGAUUCUGUUAGUAGAACAAGAAUUUUUCUUUGGACUCAAAAUUUUAUUUUAGCUUUUUGUUAUAGUAAUGUUUGUUUCCCAAAAAAUUGUGAAAUUUUUUUUUUGAAAAAAGCUUAUUUUUUAUUUUUUAUUUUUUCAAAUAAAAGAUUUGGAAGAGGAAAAGAAUACUUUUUAUAAAAUUAAAAUAUGUUCUUUUACAAUCAACGGGCGAAAAAUAUUAUUUAAGCCAAAAAAUUAUUUUCUAAGAAUAUUUUUCAAGAACUAAAUACUCCCAAAGCAUUUUUUUUUUCCUUUUUUAGAGAUAUCGAUCCUUGAAAAUUACUUAAAUUUUGACCGAAUUGAUAAACUCGGAACAAUCCAAAACUGAAAAAUCGAAAAUUAAAAUAAAUCCGAAAUUCGAAUAUAAUCCGAGGCCCGAAACCCAAAAAACCGAGACGAAAAGCGAACCAAGAAUCGAGGACCAAAAGUGACUCGAACUCAGCAUGACCCGACCCGAACCCGAACCCGGCCCAACCAGCUUACUACAUAAACGUACGUGUCGAAGGGUAUUUCCGUAAUUUCGGCCUCGGCUCUUGGGUUAUAUAAACCCUCAACCCUCGCCGUCGCUCUCGGUCACCAUUUUGGGGCUUAGGGUUUUAUCCGUUCUCUAGGGUUCCUUCUCCAUUUCCCUUCUCCCUUUCCUCUCCUCUGCGGCGACUCUCUUCUAGGGUUUUAUAGAUCCCAUCGAUCCCAUCGCCAUGACGGCCCAGACGCAGGAGGAGCUCCUUGCUGCCCACCUCGAGCAGCAGAAGAUCGAUGUGAGCUCUCUCUCUCUCUCUCUCUCUCUCUCUCUCUCUCUCUCUCAUGAUAUCCUGGUUGUUCUGAAACUGAUAUUGAUGGGGUUGAAUUGAUCGGUAUGUUGUAGAAAGUUAGAGUUUUGGAGUACCAAGAGGAGAUUUUAUCUCUCCUUAUUGAUCUGAUCGGUUGUUGUCAAAAGUUUAGGUUUUUGGAGCAUUAAGAGGAGAUUUUACCUCUUUACUGAAUCGAUCGUUAUGUUGUCGAAAGAUAAGUUUAUUGGAGUAUUAAGAGGAGAUUUUACCUCUUUACUGAUUUGAUUGGCAUGUUGUCGAAAGUUUAGAUUUUUGGUGAAUUAAGAGUUGAUUUACCUCUUUAUUGAUCGUUUGAGGAUUUUUCAUUAGGAAAUGUUUGUUAAGAGAUGUUGUAUUUGGUGAUUUAAAGGGAUCGCAUGCAGAUCUAGAGGAGCCCGUAGGUUUUGAUUGUUAUUGCAUUAGCAAUGACAUAAAAGAUCCUUUUUUUUUAAUUGGUUUAGGUUGUGUCGAUGGUGCUUUUGUGUGGUUGCUGGGAAGCAUAUAUUUCAUGUUGAGUUUCUUUGUUUUGGUCGAGGCUUACCAAAAGAGAAAGUAAAAAAAAAAAGGGUUGAGAAGUAUCUUUGUGUCAUACAAAGCUUCAUGCAGUAAUCCCAGUUAAAUUGUUUGGAGUACUUACUUUAUAUGAUCUUUGUCCUUUUUUAAUAAAAAAGUAAAGAUCUCAAUGUACAAUAUAUGAUCAAUUGUGAGCAAGGUUCAUUGUCAUGGCUGAGCAGUUAAAGGCUUUACGGGGAUGUAUUGGAAUAGGAGAAUUCUUGUACUUAAGAUAGUUUGUUGGCGCAAUUACAACACAGAGAAGCAUAUGUUGUUAGACUGGGUUAAAUUAUGGUCUAUUUGAGGCUAAUUUGAGUUGGCUAAGUUGGGUUGGAUGUUUGGUUGUCUUUAUGCUUGAUGAUCAAUAAUCAGUUGUCUACAUUCUAUGUGGUUAAUGGGAUGUUUCUGAAAUGCUCAAUAUCUCUUAAAUUUUGCUUCUUUCUCAAAAUGGAAAGAAAUGAUAAUCCUAUGUAAACCUUUUUAGACACUGUAGACUGUCUAGAUGUGAUUGUUUAAGAUGAUUAAGUUUGCUGACUUAUCGUACCUGAAUUGAACUUCUACUGAAUAUAACUCCUUGGUGGUUAGGAUUUUGGGAAGAAGAUCCCUACAUGGAAGAUUUCAUGUAAGAAAAAACUAAUUUAUGGAAGCUCCAUGAACAAAUUCUGUCAUUUGUUUGCCCAAAGUAAUUGGUGUAUUUAGACGAAUUUUUGAAAAAAAAAAUUAUGGUUUUUGCUUGUGGGCUUUUAUCAAAUUUGUGAGAGUGAAUGAUUGUGUUUCCUUUUUAGGGUUUUUUCAGUUUAUCAUGUUUUCUUUUGGCUUCUCUGAGUAAGAUUGUGUUUCCGUUUUUGGGUUUUUCAGUUUAUCAUCUUUUCAUUUGGCUUCUCUGAGUUCACCAUCUCUCUGGUUCUUUCUUUUUCUCCAUUUGAUCUUUUCUUCACUUGACUAGACACUCAAAAUGAUUAGUCAGCUGAUGGCCUCUUUUGUUGGGGCUCGUUUUAAGUGUUGGCUACUGCUAGCACACGGCAGAUACAAUGCAAUCUGCACGAGCCUUGCUGAUUGAUUCUUCGUGAGUAUUUAUAUGAAAUAUCAUUCAGCAACAUGUCAUUUGGUCAUUAUCUUCGAUUUUUGUCCAUUUAAUUUCUUGAACUCUGUUGUGUGAUUCAAUUGGCAUUUUGUUGCUAGCUUUUCGGCAAGAGUUGAACUAGGUCCCACAAAGUUAUCAAAUUCGGUUGAAACUGGAUCAUGGACUAUUGCAGUUCCCAACCACAAUUUAAUCGGUCCAUAUAGGUGGGAAGGUCCCUCCUCCCUCCUAAUUUUAACAUGUGGAGGUUUUUAACCGAACAGGUCUUAGGGGCUGUUGGCAAAUGUUGGUUGGGUACCUUCUUGCCUUUAUCUGUCCAAUUAAAUGGUCAUUAGCAUGUGUAACUGGUAUUCAUUAGCAUGUGUAACUGGUAUUAAGUGACUCUGGUGCUACAUAUUUUCAUCAACUUAUGCACAGAAGCUAAAACAAGACUUGGUUGGUAGACAUAUGCAAAUGUGUAAUACUAGUUGUAGUAAGAAAUUCGAUGUGUGAGGAAUGCUGAGUAGAGCUAUGUGCUCUUUCGUUUUAUAAGGUAAGUGCAAUGUUAGCGAAGGUUUUGCCAUAAGUUUCUAAUUAUUAGCAUAACUAAGCAAAUAUGAACUCAGUAGGGCGAUGUUCUCUAUUUUUUUUAUAUAAAUAAAAGAUGAAGUUUGAUAUAUUCUAACGUUUAUUAACCAACAUUUUUCUUUUCUUGUGUGCUGUCAAGCUGUUAACAUGUGAUGGCUUUAGUAUGUCCUUCAUUUCACUUUCUGGAAAUAUAGUAGUUGUUUUCACUGCUCAAAUUGUCUUGUUCAUUUGAAUAUGGGUGAUUUGCUGAUCUCAGCUGAUUUCCAAACUGGCUUAGCCAGAAAAUAAUAUUUUUUGGACACUUUGCAGACUGAAGAGCCUGUUGUUGAAGACGAUGAUGAAGAUGAUGAUGAUGAUGAGGACGAUGAUGACAAAGAUGAGGAGGAUGCUGAGGGUGUGUUGAUGUUUUCUUUCCUCUUCUUUAAUCUCUUUUAAAUCUCUUUCAAUUCAUGAUAAACCCAAUCACAGUUAUUAGGCAACUAGUAAUGCACAUAUCAAAAGAUGCUGAUUUAUUUAGGCAUCGUUUUGCAUCAUUGCUUCUCUUUUUUGUGUUACAAAUUUGCUUCUAUUUGCAGGGCAAGCUGGUGAUGCUAGCGGAAGAUCAAAACAAAGCAGAAGCGAGAAAAAGAGCCGCAAGGCCAUGCUGAAGCUCGGCAUGAAACCCAUUCCAGGUGUCAGCCGUGUCACUGUCAAGAAGAGCAAGAAUGUGAGCUCUCUAUCACUAUUUUUUCUCUCAUAAUUUGUUUUCCAGUUUGGAAUAUUCACAUACAAGUCCCUGGAAAAAAUCUGAAAUUUCAUAUAUGCACCUAAAAACUUAAAAAGAGUGUAAGUUCCAAUAUCGGAAUGUAUAUAGGAUUUUUCAGAGUUAAAUAUAUCUGUUAUUGAUGAUUUUAGAUGCAUUAGCCCUUUUUUUCUGAUUUGUCAAAUUCCCACAUAUAACUAAAGCUUUAUUUUGGGCGCACAGAUACUAUUCGUCAUCUCAAAGCCGGACGUCUUCAAGAGCCCUGCCUCAGACACUUACGUAAUAUUUGGCGAGGCGAAGAUUGAGGACUUGAGCUCUCAGCUGCAGACACAGGCCGCCGAACAAUUCAAGGCGCCCGACCUCAGCCACGUAGUCUCGAAGCCCGAGGCCUCUGCCAUGGCUCAGGAUGAGAACGAGGAGGUGGAUGAGACCGGGGUCGAGCCCAAGGACAUCGAGCUCGUCAUGACCCAGGCUGGGGUCACUAGGGCCAAGGCCGUCAGAGCGCUCGUAGCGGCCGACGGUGACAUUGUCACCGCCAUUAUGGAGCUCACCAAUUAAGUGCUUUUGUAAGACUCGUUCUAAAAAUAGUUAUUUAUUUUCCGGAGGCGUUCAUGCUCGUGCUUGUUUCGAUGGAAUCAAUGUAAGAGUUUUUUUUUUUUUUUUGUGUGUUUUUCGCAUGCUUGUUGUUGAACCUUCACAACUUUUCGCCCAUGCUGGCGGUUAUGCUGACAAUUUAAGAUGUGCGAAUUCCAUAUGUUUAAUGUUGGGGUUUUAGGUUUACUUCAUAUCAAUAUGAAGAAAAGAUUUUGUUUUCGUUACAUCACGACUUUUUUCUGAGCUAGGGCAGCAAUGGUAUGGCCGUUGGUGAGGGCGGCGGUGCUUCUCUGAUGGCAGUUUUUAUCAUCAUUUCGUAACAUUAAAGAAGGAAAGAUUGGAAGUGUUUUAAAAUUUUUUUCAAAUUUUUUAAAAGUUUUAGAUACCGUAUUCCAAAAUAGGUCAUGUUUGUCGGAGAGUAGUAAACCGCCUUUUUGGGUUUUCAUUUCGCAUAUGGUUGUUUUGUUAAGCUUCUUAGGUAGUGGAUAUUGUGUUGUCAUUUAUUCGCAAGUAAUGCUAUACUUGUAACUAAACAAAGUUGAAAUUCAACUAUUGAGUUAUGCUUGUAACUAAAUUAAGUUGAAAUUCAACUAUUGAGUUAAUGGAGUUUGUAAAAUAUUGUGCGAUCUGUUUAUAAGCAAAGCAUUUUCUUUAUUCACUACCAUGGUUAAGGCUUAGUUUGGUAUUGAGGCCAUUAGAUAAAAUGGAAUUGAAAAAAAAACAUAUAGGAAUAUUCUUCUGCGUUUUUCAGUGGAACCGCAGAAAAUAUAUCGUAACCGACUCAUUGCGAUAUGCGGAACGCAAUAUUACGACUCAUUGCGAUAUGCAUACUUUCUCACCGCACGUGACGCAAUCCCCGCAAUCCCAAACGAAACUUCGCAAUUCCGAACGAAAAGAAACCUUGGUUGAAGUUGACUUUUUGGAUUAUGCUUUAAUCGGAGUUGGGAGGGAGAAAUCCCUGAGACGUUGCGGUUUGCUCAUAGGUUUUAUGAAGUGAAACAAUAUCCCUAGUCACGGUUUUAUACAAAUUACGAACAACUACAGCACAACAAUCAAUGUUAAUGCGAAUCCAACAAAUAGUGGGACAACCCUGCUGUUUCACUUGUACCGUAAGCAAGAAUUUCGACAAGCGUCUGUUUCACUUGUACCAUAAGCAAGAAUUUUCAAAAGCCUAAAAUUGCGUGUAUUUUUAGACCAACGAAAAAGUAAUAAAAUCAAUAAAAGCAUAUUACACCGUGUACGAUCAUCAUAAGAGUAGAUUAGAUGAUCAUAAGAGGAGAUUAGAGAGUUGCCGUAUCGUAACGAACAUUGCACCACCAACUAAUAUUUUCAUGAAUUACGGUACGUGUCAGCCCGAGCACACAACAAUUAAGUUACGCACUGAUUUCUGCACGAUAAAACUAAGGGGAAAAGAAAAAAAUACUAAGAUUUGUCUUUGAUGUGUCAAUGAAGUACAAAAUCAAAAUAACGGCGUACGCCGCUGAUUUGUUCACAAGAGAGCAUCCCCAAAGAACUGCCAGUGCAUUAAUAACAUAUUGAGAGGCACAGAAGGAUACCCAAAGAACUGCCAGUUCAUUAAUAACAUCUUGAGAGGCACGGAAGCAUACCCAUAACAUAUAUUCAGAUCAAAAAUGCGGCGACAUGUCGGAAGUGAUCAACUUAUUUGAUUUGAGUUUUCAUUAAAGAGAAUGUCAAAAAGAAGGGUUUCUAACAGUGAGAACACAAAUUACCUUACGAAUCAUCGACACCACUCAAGCAAUGUUUAAGAAUUGCGAGACACUAAUUCAAAUGAGCUCAUCGUAGAUUUAGCAGCUGUACAACUACGACCGUAGAAUACAUUUCCAUUUCUUUGUUUGCAUGAACAUGUAAAAGCACUGCAUUAGAACUUUAUAAAAUAGAACUGCAUUGACUAGUCCUCAUUCCGCAAUAGCAAAGUAAGAUUUCUAGGGUUAAGUGUCAUGGCAAUUUUAUUGUAUGUUCAAAGUGAAUAACACAUGAUUGCCAACUACAUAACAUGAUUACCAUAGAAGUAGAUAUAUAGGAGAAGCACUGAUCAUAAGGGUUCUGCAGAUCGAUUCCCAGGUUCCAGAAAAAGUCUGAAUAAAUUAAGAAUCUUCAAGUCCAACUAUGUAGCUUAAAUAAAUGCAAACAAAUUAUCACAGGCAAUACUUGAACUGCUUUAAUACCUAAAAGGCCCAUCCUACACUCAAAUUAUCAAUAAGUACAAUCAUUAUUCAGCAAGUAGAGUAAGCACACCAUUGGUUGGAAGAAAGCACAAAGAUGGACAAGACAUACAACUUUGAAAAUAUAUGCACUCACAAGAACUGCAGAAUAGCACAACUACAAUAAUCGCUAAACACAAUUGCUAUUCAGCAUGUAGAAUAGCACAACAUUGUAAGUUAGAAGAAAGCAUAAAGAUGAACAUAAGCACUCACUAGAACUGUAGAAUAGCACUUGUAUGAUGUUCUUAGUCUUUUAAGACAUCCAAAUUUUCAAGGAACCUUGCAGAAAAAUUACCACAAAGAACCCCAAAUGGCUACAUUUGAAGUUCGAUAAGGAAAUGAGCGAGAAGAAUCUGCCAUCGACUAGUGUAAUUAUAAUAAACGUCACAAAGUCUAAUAAUAUAAAAGGAUAUAACCUUGAAUACAUUUUUUGAUACCUCUGUCUGUUCAUAAUUGACAUUGAUAGGAAAAAGCAUAUAAACAAGCAGCUUUCGAUUGUUUUAGCUACUACCAAGACGUGCGCAAACUUCCUUGCCACCCAGCUUAACUAGUAAAAAUGUGGCUGAAAUGGAAACUUAACAGAUAAGCAACUAAACUCAAAAUAUAUGAAUAUGUAACUUCUAGCAAUCAACAGGCCAUAUGAAAGUAACCCAUAAAGUUCUUAUAUUCACUGGAAGCAGCAUAACAAACACAGAUACCAGCCUAAUGAGAAUUAGAGCUAGAACUUGAUGAACGAAAAGGCCAAAGAAACGAGAACGGAUUCCUUCUCCUCUGCCGCUCAUUGCUUCUCCCAUCGCUGCCCGAACUCUGACGACUCGAUCUCGACCUCGAACAACCAACUGCCGAUCCCUGCGGCGGCAACACAAAGCGGCAUACUGGGCACGAGUUAUGCUGCUCCAACCAUGGAACUAUGCAAUCUGAAUGAUACAAAUGCAGGCAGGGCAUCUCUCUUGCCUCCGAACCCAACUCAAACUUUUCCUUACAUACAGGACAGUGUGAAUCCCCAUUCAGAUGUCUCUGGUUGAUCUUAAUAGUCGGCAUCGCGGUGAUAGAUGACUGUGAAGCAGGCGGCGGGCCACGAUUGUCAUGCUGACUCAACUGGUCGAUCAAUUCUGAUACGUUGGCCCGCUGCAGCCCAACACCGUUGCGGCCAUUGAAGAAGAAAUCGAAGCCAUUGGCAUCCGAUAUGUGGGCAGGGAUUUGGCCACGGAAGAGCAACCAUGGGCCUGGUCCAAACUCCAUCUCUAUGUCGGAGAAGAUACUCGGCCGGCCUCGGAUAUCGACUUCCCGAUUCCUUCCCACCAUCCCUGGCCUCAUCAUGGCGGAUAGGGCCUCCACUACGCCAAAGCGAGGGUCCCUGUGGAAGUCAGGAUCGAUGAAGUGGGUCAUCAUUAGGGAGUCCACAUCAUCAAGCUCGAGCACGAAGCCAUUGUCGCAGUUGGGGCAGACCAUGUAGCGACCUCGAGGGCGGACUCUCUGGCGGCACUGGAAGCACCAAUGGGACCUGCUACUACUCGACAUUCCCCGCGAUUUUGUUUAUUGCGGAAGUUCAAAUAGAUUGAGAAACCAAGAUGAUGGACAUAAACGAGAUUCUGCAACAAGAAAUCAGAUCCAUGUCAUUACAAAAAGAGUGUUGCCUAGGAAGUUCGCUUGGCGGCAAAAAAAAAAAAAACGCAUUCGGAUUGAAUCGUUUGGUAUCCUUGCCACUUUCUUAUACUUUUAAAUGAAGUGUAUGGGUGGACAGUGGAGAGUCUGCAAUCUAUACAUCUAAAAGGUUUUCUACGCGACAUCCAGCCAGACUGCAUAGAAAGCUAGCCAAUGAUUAGUGAUUACAAGAGUAAAAAAGUGCACUUGCCGUCGCAACCAACCACAUAAAAAUUUUUAAUUUACACCGACCGUAUCGAGCACAGUUGGCUAAAGACUUAAUGAUUGAUACCUAAGGUUCCAAAUUAGAAGUCUAAUUGCUUCAUAUUUUCAGCAGAGUUUAUUUGUUAAAAAAAUGAGCGAAGCAUGAAUUCUCUAAAAAUAAAUGAAUAAAUAAAAAUAAAAAUAAGAGACUUUUUUCCCCUAAAUUUUUUUUUUUUACUUUUUUUUUUUUAAAUCGCGCAACACGUAACACAUAUUGGCAUAGCCUAAUCAGUCGAGCUACAAACGCAAAAAUGGCAUAAAAAAUUUAUUAACACACUAAGAGGAUAAUCGAUACGAUCGCUACAAAAAAACCUGUUUAUGCAGCAUCAAAUUAGAGAUAUAAAUUUAGAUCUUCAUCACCAACCUGAUAAGCAAUCGAAAGAACAGAAAGGAUUACCCAAUUAUCAUAAAUCAUGAACAAAUCAAAUAAAUUUCGAAAUAGAUCUAAUCGAUGUGCACACUAAUUCUUCCGAUUUAAUUCCUCAAUAAGGAUUACAACGAAUCAUUAAGAAGAGAAUUAAAACAAAAGGAGGGAGAGAGAGAGAUUGAAUUAGGAGAUAACCUUUUCUGAGGAGGGGGGGUGGGGGGAGAAAUGGAGGAGAUAACGGAGAAACCGAGGAAGAGGAAAAGGGAUCGAGAAAAAGAGAGGCGACACCUCGAUAUGGGGGUUGACGCGGAUGGGACCCACCUCGUCCUGCUGCAUCGUCCGCCGUUGGUUGGUUCGCGCGUUUGAAUGGACGGCUGUGACUGACGCUGAGGAAUAACCAAUUGGGGGAGUCCGGUUCUUCAUCAGCUUGCGACCGGUUCGGUUGGUCCGGUCCGGUCCGGUCCGGUUCAACCUCGAGGACGAAUAAUGUUUCACGCAAGUUAUUAAUUAUUCUUCUGCAGAGCGCCUCAUUAUACCAAAUUUCAUUCAUCAGAAAAAAUUUUAAUCAUAAAAAUUUUUUAAAACUAAUUUUUUAAGAAACUUAAACAACACAUAGUUAGAUUUUAAUGUGUAGGAUUAUUAAUAGAACAUAAUGCUUGAACAGCAUCCAAUUCCACAAAAUUUAAAGCUUAAAAUUUAAAAUUUAAAAUUUAAAAACAGUACAUGUUUCAAAUUAGAGCUCUGGGCAAGCGCCUCGUUUCAUCUUUCCUGCAGAGCAGAGAAAUUUCAGAAAUGUCAAAAUAUGAAAAUUCAUGAUUCAAAGUAAGUCCACGUUCAGACACAAGUCACUUAAAUUUAAUUAAAUUAAACACUAAAAACACAUUCCAGGAACUCGAAACAAACCACAAAAAUACACAGAAAAUCCUUAAUGGCGUCCGUUAAUCCCCCAUCUCGCAAUAGCUGAAACUCAGAUGUCAAUGUUCCUUUCUAAGGAAAUGCCGUUUUACGGGGAGGCGAGGGGAAAAGGGAAAGCAACAAAGGAAAAGAACAAAGACCAUAACAGGAUCUUUCAGAUUUUGUUGAAGGCGACAAUGUCGCAGCUCUGAAUAUACUCGUUGCACGGCUCGACCGUGAGAUGCUCCUCGAUGAGGCUGUCGACCGAAACGAGGUCAUCAACAAUGGUCAUCAUGAUCUGCAGCUUCUUAAUACCAUAACCCACAGGCACAAGCUUUGCUGCACCACAAAAAAGGGAAGGAAAAAAAUCAAUAUAUGAGAAAAAUAGUUCUGUUUGCAGCUUUUCUAUCAAAGUUGAGCCAGAAAAAGUUAGGGAGUCUUUAGUCAUAUACAUCAAUGCAAAAAUUUACACAUUAUGUUUCUAUCCCUCUGAAGUCUAUAUUUUAAAGAGACAUUUCAAAGGUUAAUAUUGCGGCCGGUCUCACUUGGUCAACAAGCAGAAGGGAGCGAUGAAUGGAUCAUUUCCAGGUUUAAAAGGAAAAAUAUAUACUAGUAUCAACUUUAUAAGGAUAAAAAUGUAUAUAUACUAGUUAAAGGUGUAACACAACUUUAGUUUUAUUUAAAUUAGUUAUCCGUUAGGAUAAAAAAAAAGGGAGGUAAGAAAAACAACUCACAUGCUCCCCAUAAAAGGCCUGGCAUUUCAAUGCUGCGAACAGCCUCCUCCAACUUCUUCAUGUCGGUCUCAUCAUCCCAAGGCUUGACAUCAAGAAGGACAGAUGAUUUUCCGCCUAAGAAUGGAUUUCUUAAAUUAGUAUCUACUAAAAACUUUCAACAAGCUUUGCAUAGCCAAUGGAGUUAGAAAAUUAUUAUGUCCCGAGUAAAAAAAAUAAAACUGAAGCCAAGAUUUGCUUGAUAAAAAGCUGAGGAUACUAAAAGUAUAGUUCCAAGAGAGCUUACUUUCCUUCUUCUUGGAAGAUGCUUUCGCAGCCGCCUCCCGCUCCUCCGCUGCUUUCUUUUCCUCCUCAGUCUCAUCUCCAAAGAGAUCCAAAUCAUCAUCAUCAUCGUCUGCAGCCUUCUGUGUGCACAUGAAGAAAGAAUCCUUUAGUUGAAAACGAAGCUACAGAAAAUGAGUACUCAGAUGAACGCAUAGUAUAAAUCCAAAAACGGCUUAUUUUGAGUACUCGAACCUCGUAGAUAAAAGGAGUUUCUAGCCUAAGGAAAACACCCAAAACCAUAAAAAACAGUUUCAUAUAUCUUGUUGGUCCUUUGAGAGAGAGAGGUGCAGCUUGCAAUCGAAUUCGAAUGAGGAAGGGAUUCAUUCUGGGUUUGAUUGAUUCAAACUUCCUAAACAAUUACUAAGCCAUUCAGGAGACAGGGAGCUCUCAGAUGAUUGAUAAAAAUAGCAAUUACCAUAUUUUUACAAGACGCUUCCCAAACUAUCUGAUUAAGAAGUGUUAUUCACAAAGAAAGAAACCAAGAAUGAAAUAGUAUAGUUUAUGUCCAUACAAUCAAGAAUGCAAGAGAGAAAAAAAAAAGAAAAAGAAGCAACCGAAUAAAAAAAGGAGUAGAAUGGAAUACCUUCGCGGGCUCGGCAGCUGGUGCAGGUGCUGAGGCAGCAGCUUGGCCUGAGAUCUUCACUCCAAGUGCUUUGCCAGGGAAUCUGAGACAUCCAGAAUUGACCAUAUAAAAAUGAAACCAAAUAGAAAAUUUGAAUUGGAAAUAAAUAAAUAAGCAACUGAACAAAACUCUUAAAUAUGGCAACCAACAUUUCUAGAGCAACAAGAAUUCUACAAAAGUAAAGAAACAACUUCUCUCAAAUCAUCAAAAAAAAUAUAAAAUCUCGUUUCAUCUUAAAGUCUUCAAGACGUGACAUAACCUUAAGAAAAGGUCAAAAUAUUUACAGUUUACAAACAUCUUCUUUCAAUGGCGAUUUAACAGCCCACUGUUGUAGGACUUAGGAGUUGGACCUUAAUCGAUGAAUACCUCAUCUAAUUUGACUUUGAGUAACUGAUUUAAUUUGUGGACAUAGACAUAAUAAGCAAGAACAAAACAUCUCAUCAAUUAAGUAGCCAGCUUAUAUUUUUAUCUAGAUUCCUCAAAGAAAAUUCUGAAUUACACAUCUAUUAUUUCUUCAGUUUAAUAGUAACACUACCAAAAUGCAAUAUAUAUAUAUAUAGCUUCAGACCAAAGUAGUGAAUGAAUCUUAAAAUCCUGAAAAAAAAAACUGUUUGAUUCAGAUUUAUAUAGCAUUACAACUGCAUAUAAGAACAAACCUUGACGCGAGAACAGCAGAAACACUCUCAUACCACCGGGACGCAUUCGGGAAUGACUCUCCAGGCUUCGCCGACACUGCGGCAAACACUUUGACAUCAUCUUUGCUGAUCACAUCUCUGAUAAAGAACAAUAACCACCAUAACACAUCAAUAAAGCAUAAAAAGGACAAAUUUUUAUCACAAUUAAACGUGAAAUUCUCCACGAAGCACACGAAUCAACUAAAACUCAGAUUUUUCUACUUUUCUAAGCACGAAAACAAAGUAAAUAGGAGAUCGACGGGGUUAGAUCAAAUCGAAAUCGGAGGAUUACAACAGUGAUGGGGUUACUUACCCGGAGACGAAGCUCUUUCCGGAGAGGAACUCGUCGAGGGUUCUGAGGCCCGAUUCGGUGUGGAGAUCGGAGAAGGAGAUCGCCAUUGGAUCCGUAGCGCGAUGGGGCGAGGCGGUAGAGGAUUCGGGGGAUUCGGGGAAACGUGAACGGCGCCAAAACCCUAACCCUAGACGAUAGAGAGAGGGGCAAAAAGGAGCGCAUAAAAGGGUUUAUAUAGGUGGGAUCUCUGUAGCUAUGAAACGAUUAAGGGAAUAUUCCUAACAAGGCCCAAAAAACAAAAAAGAAAAAAUUGAAAAUGUAUACAGAGUCCCUGCACUUUUCUAAUAAUAAUUAUUGUUUUAACUAUUAUUUAGUCAAUAAAUGUAACGACCCAGCCCACUAGCAACAAUAACUCGUUGGGCCCAACAACCAGCCCAAAAUGCUUAAGCCCAGUUAUUAUUACUAGUGUCUAAGUCUCAUAUAAACCCAAUAACAACCCAUUUCCAUCCGAUGUGGGACUAUUGGGGUGUCACAAUAAAAAAUUAAUAGCCUUAAAACUGUACUUAACCCGAUAUUUUUAUUUAUUUAAUUAACUAUGAAUUUUUUGAACUUAUUUGAAAUGAUGACAAAGAGUAGAAUAGCGAGAGAGGAUAAAAGAUCAUUAAGAAAUGAGUCUUUUAUAAUUUAGCUUUAAAUUUUAGUACAGAUAUCAAAAUUUUUCAUACAGUCGUUGUAUUAAUCAUGUAUCUCCCUGUUUAAAUAUUCAAGUGAGAGAUUAUUUUAUUUCAGGAAGGUUGUUUACAAGAAAAGGUUAAAUUAUCACGUCUACUUUGUUUUAAAAUGUUCCAUCAUAUUUUGUUUGAAACUGUUUGAAGCUCGAAAAAUAGUUUGAUUGACAUGAAACUAGUGGAUAAAGAAUUAAUUACACGAUAUAAAACUUUAGUUGAUUCACAUGCGCAAUCUAAGGCAACAAUAUAAAUUAAAUUUACCAACACGUCAACAAUAAUGCUACGGGGAAGUAGACAAACAUAUCUGAAAUUAAACUUGAAUCCAAAUUCAAAUUUCGCAUUCUACUUAGGCUUAUUAAGAAAGAUCCACCACCAAUUGCACACAAUAGUUUUUCAAAAAAAGAGUACUGAAAUAUAAAUAGAUUCAAACAUUUUAACAGUGGUUUCAUCUCAGGCCCACUAGACUCUUAGCACCUUUAUAAAGUAGGGUUACAAUGCCAUCAAAUGCUAAACUGAUGAUUGUCAAAAAGGAGCCCAGAAACCAUUCAUUAAACAAGCAAAAAGAUUUCAAAAUAACGUAACUAACACCUAAAAUUACUCGUCGUCCUCGCUCUUGGUCUUCUUCUUCUUUUUCUUCUUUCCCUCCGUGCCCAUUUGAGCAUCUCCGUCCUCCGCGUGUUCCCGAUUCUUCUUCUUUUUCUUCCUGUCGGGAGUCCCGUUUUGCUCCGCUUCGUGACCGUUCGCCCCGUUGACGGCUUCUGUAACCAUUUCCUCCUCUAGCUUGUGCUUCUUCUUCUUCUUCUUCUUUUCCGUCUGUGGCUCGACGGAAGCAUCCCCGUCGGCAACAUUAUUCGGUUGGUCCUCGUCCAUCGGAUCGCCAUUUGCUGCCUCACUCUUUGAUUUCUUUUUCUUGCUCUUUUUCCCAGAUGCCUCAUUUUCCUUCUCUCCCUCUACAUUCGACGGCCAAUAAAUGAUUAUAAACAGAAAGGAAAUAUUGAAAGAGUAAAGGGGAAAAUAUCGUAAAUUAGAGAACAAAAGUUUGAGCAUCAGAACGUCACAGUAACACUAUGCAUCUCUACUAAAAGAUAAUAACUCGCAGAACAAAGUCCAUGAAAUUUGGUCCCUAAUUUCUAUUACAUCCUCAGAAUUCAAUCGUUCAUAAUAUAUUAGCUGUAUGUUGUUGAGCGAAAUAAUCACGCUAUUUUGUUAGCCUAUGGCAGCAUCAUCAAUAAAUUGAAAUCUCAGGAAAAAUAAAUGCCAUAUCAGCAAACUCUAACAAUGACGCUGAUGCAAUAUCUUUCGUCAGAGUUAAACCAAGUGUAACUACUUAAUUGUUAUUCAGAAGGAAAUUUUCAGGGACUAAAUGGUUAAAAUUGGAACUCAGAGGACAGCACUAAAAUAAAUAUUGAAUUUCAGGGACAAUCUAUAAUAAUUUAAACCAUCUUCCGAUAUUAAGGUUAAUGAGCAACUAGUGUAGCGACCCGCGUGUUACAGUGGAUAGAAACGGUUAAAGUAAAAACGUAUAAAGAAUAAAAUAUCAAUUUAAUACAAAAAAUAAUAAAUAUAGUCUAUAUUAUAAACAAACACUUUAAAAAAAAUAAAACUAUAAUAAAAAAGAAUCGAUUGUUCCAACAAAAUUAUUCAAUCUUGUUAAAAAAAGAUCACAUAUCAUGCAAAUGGAUGUUUAAAAUUAUUUUUAUAACACAAUAAUCAUGUAAAAUAUCAUAUUGCCAUUGAUAUGACUAAAAAAACUCAUAAUAAUAUGCAAGAUAAUUUACAAAUAUUAUAUAUAUAUAUCACUUUUAAUCAAUUAAUUUACUCCGAAUAUGAAACACAACAAAUGUUCGAAUUUGCAAAUUUAAUGAAGAGGGUGGAAGACCAAAAAGUAAAGAAAAUGGAUAAAAAAAAAAACCUCUUUAAACCUUAAUAAAUCUAAAGAAAAUGAGAAAAAGUAAAAAUAAAAAAAGUAGGCCCCACUCCUCAAAUUAAGGGGGUGGGUACAUGUAGGAUUUAGUAAGGAGGAUUAAUGUAUAGGUAUAGAUUACUAAAAUAAAUCUCACCGUCAGUGUUCAUCAACCUCUCGAUAGCAGAUUUCAUCACGUCAAGAUUCUUGCGAGGCGCAAUACCCUUGUCGUAAAAGUCCAAUCUCUCCUCCACUUGCUCACGAAGUUUUUGCCCAAAAAUAGAAGUAUUCAUCUCUACAAUGAAUUAUGUUAUCAUUGAGAAUUCAGAAUAGAGACAAAUACACAAAAUAAGAUAGAUUUAUUAAAAAAGGGGAAAAAAAAAAAGGUUUCUUGCACUAACCAGAGAAACAGUCAAUACGGGAUGCAAUAGAACACUUGUUUGCAAGAUAACGGGCUAAACGACCUUUGUUCUUAGCAGAGGCCCGUCCGAUAAAUGAUGAGUGAAAUAUUAAACCAUACUUUGGAGUGUUCCCUCGAGUUUUCAAUGCCCUAUAACCAACCAAAAAAAAGUGAUUACUAAACAAUACAAGCACCACAGAAAAGACAUUCUCACCUAUUUUCAGAUUUAUAUAUGCAGAAGAUCAUAAAAUCUGGACACAUAAUGAAAUGUUUUGCAGAUAUAAGAGAUCCACAUGCAUUACAAAUACUAACCUAAUAUCACUACAAUUUUAGAGGCUUCCAGUAUUAAAGAUUUCAAACUUAGAAUGAUGAUAUUAUAUUCGAGCCUGCUUAAUAGGGGCAGCAAGAAAAAGUCCUAGUAGCUCAGAAAAUAGCUAGAAUAAAUGAUUCCUCGUUGAUAAUCAACCUAAUCCAUACCCUAUACUAACUCCAAAAUUAAAAUUCAGUAACCCAGUGCAUCCUAUACUUUGUCAAUGGAAUAUUUAAAGAUAAAAAAUGCAACCAUUUUUUUCGAAAUUACAAGACCUGGAACAAGCAGGAUUUUAAUAAUCCAAAACUUCUUUUCCUAUCUGAAUCUGAUUUUCCCUGGUGGAGUUAAACGCUCCUAUCCAAUUAUUUAUAAGUCAGACCAGGGAGGUCAACUGAGUAAGGUUUUAAUUAAAUCACCAUGCAGAGUAAAUAUUUUGGUCCAGGUUAUUCCAUGAUAACUUGCGUUGGUCGUGAUUUUCUUCCUGUGGUUACAGUAUGGAGUUUUAUUCUUAGCUUGUGUAUAUAACUAACAAUUCUGAUUCUCUAGGACAGAGAAGCUCCAUGUGAGGAGAUUUGCCGUAUGCCAAAAGGCCAAAACAAAAAACAAAAUGGACAAAGAAAAAAAAAGCAAUUACUCAGACCUCACUCAAUCAUAAAAUCUUCUUAUGACUCUCCAAUCAACAGCAAAAUGCCCCUUUUAAGGGCACCAAAAAAAAAGAUACAUCCCUAGAAAUAUUCAGCCAUCUGAACAGGCCCUUUGUUUCAGGCAAAAACCAUGUAAGAAGCAAAUAGCACUAUCUAGUAAGAAUAGUGCCGAACUUUACAAAAGAGCCUGAAAAUGCAGUGCAGAUGAAGAAACCAAACCUGAAAAGAGCUUUCUCGGCACCAAGUAUCUGAAGAGUGGAGGCAGGGCACUUGGCUAGAUUUGAAAGACUACCAGCAUGAGAUAUCAAGCGAGCACCAACAACUUCCCCAACCAGAGAAGCCAGAUUCGGAGCAAUGUCAUUCAUUUUAGUGACAAGAUACUCAUAAAGCUUCUUCCUGUAUUCAGAGAGAUCCAUAACUCUCUGAGCAAAUUGCUGAACGUUUAUCAAAUCAACCACAGACAGAUCCUGUCCUGAAAAGGUACGGCAAAGAUUAUGGAAAAUUAUCUAUAUACAUAUAUUUCCCAGCAGAAUUAGAACUUUCUCUGGGCACUUCAAAAACUUAGCUUCUUACACAUAGAAGCGUGUACCCACAAAUCAGCCCCUCUAUAGAAAACUAUAUGAUAGAAAAUCAACUUAUCUUAUGAAUUGGAUGACUCCGUAACUUAACUAGGAUAUAUUGUAAGAAACUGCACCUUCAACGUAUAUAUGAAAAUUCAUGUUUAUAGGGGAAUAUAGGAAAAUAGAUGAUUUUGCAGGCCCAUACUUGUAAAAGCUCCUUAAAGUGUAAAAUUUACCAAUUAUAGAAAAAGAAUGGAUUAUAGACUCUACCCAUUGAUGCUUUAGCUGCUUCAACAAUUUCAUUUGCCUUGUCCUCAUCUCCAACUACGUCUGUUAGAGCUUGAAUAUGAUCAUUAGACAAUUCGGAUUUGUUCUUCACAAACUUUGCAACUUUUGCAUAUAGAUAAUUGUCAUUGACAAUCUUCGCAAGCUCUGGAAAAUGCCAUGAGUACCAUUCUCUGCAUAACAGAGGUAGAGCGGUGAGGAAAAAGUUGAGAGCCACACAUUAUGACUUUAGUUAAUCCAAAUACAAAAUAGUAAAUGACAUUAUAGCAACACAGAAAAUAACAGAAAAUGAUAUUGACAAGCAGCACUAAAGACCAAAAAAAAAAUGUAGCUGGUUACAAUAGUCAAUCCAGUGAAAAAGAACAUGCUUCAAACUUCUCACUCAUAUAGGCUUUAAACCCAAUUAAUUCAGAUAUAUGGCAGCCAAGAAUAAUUAAUACCUUAAUUUACAAAAUAACAAAGUUUGCAAUUUAGAUUAGAUGCAAUAGAAUUCAAAAAAGAAAUGCCCACGGGACUUUAAGAGUAGAGGGACAACUAAGUAAGGAUUGUCAUUAAGGUGGUAGCAUUUUCCACAGAAAAUAGUACUCAAAUCCCAUAACACAUGACAACAUGAGAGAAGGAACACUACGAGAAUGAUUUGAGGAAUCCAUUUUUCAUAUUCUACUCUAUUCUGAAAUUACAACAUUUAUUCUUUUACUGUUACAAGCAAAUACUAAAAGUGCACCAAAAGAAGGUGAAACCUACAGGUUUUUCCAACAGUCAUAUAAUAAGAUAAAUCCCAUCAAAGGUCAAACUGGCAUUACAGUUUGUCCACCAUGGCCAUAAAACAGACAUAGAAGAAGGGUUACAAUAACAAUUUUUUCGGCACAUAUAUCAGAUAACUCACACCACUAGUAAGAUUUGCCAAUGUACAAAGUAAUGCAAAGAGACUCUAUUAAGAACUCAAUGCCAAGGAAGCAUGGCUCAAAUAUCUUCUGUUAAAUGCUAGCAAACCUGACUCUCAUUGAGAAGGAGUUGAUAUCCUUGUCCAGAGUAUCAAGUACAAAAAUGGCUUGAAUAACCAUGUUAUCCACCCUAUUAACAUUGAACUUAACCUUCGCCCUGCUGUAACUGUGGCCCAAACCCAACUGUGCCCUUUCCAAGUCAGAUGGCUGUUAACAACAUAGAAGGCAAAAGGAAACAGAAAACUGUCACCUUUCAAUAAAAUAGUAAAAGAAAAUUAAAACAACAAAAUUGAACAGUUAAGAGCUCCAACCUUUACAUCCUUGACUAGCUUAGAAAAGUGCAACCUAAUGCCGCGAAGAAGCUCAAGAACAAAAUCAUUACUCUGGCAGGGGAUUUUUGUCACUUCUGAGAUCUGAGACCCGACCUUUGGUUCAGCCACACCAAGGCUGAACUUAGCCUUCUUCGUUUCCUUUUGUUUUGGGAGGCUGGCCUCCAAGAAAUUCCUCAACUCAUCAGUCAUAAUCCCUAAACAACAGCAAAAAUCCAGCAAAUAACUCAUCUUUUCAAACUUGGAGAGAGCAACAGCCUGUGCCUCGAGCUUUCGCAGCGGCAGAGAGCUCAUGGAAGCAAAAGCUCCAAUUUGAAGCUUCUGCUGCAGCAGGAAGCUGCUGGGUGAGAUUUUUAUGACAAAGAUGUUAGUGCUUGUUCAAAAAGCUCAAGUACUGCAGUACUUCUGCAGAAGCUUCAAGAAAUUCCGAACCACAUCAGGCAUAAUCCCUAAAAAGUAGCAAAGAUAUCAAUUUGGGUCUCGGAAAGGGCAGUCAACCCAAACUGCUCCAACAAGCAGCAGCAGCAGCAGCAGAGAACAAAAGCAGAAGCUCUCCAACCUAAUGCUUCUGCAUCUGACGCGGCAGGGAGAUGUCUAUAAAGAGGAAUCGGGCUAGGGUUACAGUUUCGGAGGUGCAUCAUGCAAUACCUUCGGAGAUGGCGUUGCACUGGUUGAGGGCGUCGAGGGCGGAGUCGAAGGGGUGGAAGCCGACGAAUUUGACGACCUUGCUGAAGCGCGUGAAGUCGAGGACGGAGUUGCGCACGGCCUCGGUGUUUUGGCCGAUCUCGUCGAGGCCGUGCGCCUCGAAGAGCGAGUACCCCGGCGCCGACUCGUAGAGGAGGUAGAGCGCCAUCGCCACCCAACUCCCCCUCCCCGAGCGAAGGAGCUAGGGUUUCGAAUGGGAGGGGGAGGAUUCGCAAGCUAGGGUUUCGGGAACUUCGAGAGAGAGAGAGGGAGGGGGAGGAGGCGGGGAUUAGGGUUUUAGAAAGCGGAGAAGGGGGAGAGGAAGAGAGAAAGAGGCGACGAAGGUUAGGGUUUAAAAGGGCUUCUCGAUGCGGAGUUAUGGGUUUAUGUAAAGUGAUCUGAGCCGUCCAAAUAGAUUUGCUGAAAAAUUAUUCCCUGCACCAGGUGUAUCCAUACGCCUUACGCACUGAGCCUAAUUUUUAGGGUUUUUUUUGCAAAUGGCUCUCUGAAAAAAUUUUAUUUUAAAACUAGUCCCAACAAAUUUAUAAUUGCAAAAAUGACCCUACUCCUGCCACGCAAGCGCCACGUGGGCAGGCUGGAGGUUGCUUGGCAAGUUGAAUACGGUGAAUUAAUCACCAUGUUUCAUAUUUAUAUAUUCCUUUUCUUCUCUUUUAGGAAUGUAACGGGUCAGGUCCGGGUGUGAAUGAUUCACCGUGUUCAACUUGGCAAGCAACCUCUUAGCCAGCCCAUGUGGCGCUUGCGUAGCGCCUGCGUGGCAGGAGUAGGGUCAUUUUUAUAAUUAUAAAUUUGUUAGGGUUAGUUUUAAAAUAAAAUUUUUUUAGGGGGCCAUUUGCCAAAAAAGCCCUAAUUUUUAAAUAUUACUGUUUUAAAAUCACCAUGGACCAUUCUGAACAUGCAACUCAACCUUUCAAAAUUUUGAUUUUUACUAUCUAUUUUUUAAUUUAUUUAAUUUGAGUGACUUCAAAAUUUAAGCUAAUUACUUUAGUAAAUUUAUAAUUAUAAGAAUUGUAUGAAGUAUAGUAAAUAAAUUUGUAAUUAUAAAUGAUUCGUUCAAAUUUUAAAAUUAAAGCGCCGUUUACUAAUUCAAAUCAAACAAACUCAAGGAUUGAAUAGUAAAAUUAAAAUUUUUAAAAGUUGGAAAGCAAAAUUAAAUAAUCCAUAAUUCAUGUAAGUUUUAUAUAUUUUUACCAUACAUUAUUUAAAAACUAUAGAUGAAAUUUAAAAAUGUAUUAUUGAAACCUCAAAUAUUUUUAAUAAUUAAUAUUUUUAUAAAUGGAUAUCCAAAAAUAAUUAUUUCGACAUCAACCUUUUAAGUAAUUAAAUGUCAUAUAACAUAUUUAAUGAAUAAAAUUUUAAAGAUAGAGUGUAUAAAAUGUACCUAAAGUGUUGCUAGCCAACGACGAUGGAUGAACAAAUUUCUCCGAUUAAUUUGUUUUAUGGAUGAAGUGGUUUUGUUUUUUGGUCCUUAAUAUUUCCUCUUGGUUAAAUUGCACAAGAGACAUUAAGCACUAAGCUAAGUUUCAAUUCAGUGUAGAUCGUAAGCGCUAACAAACUAUUUCAAAAAUAUGUGAUCAUAGAAAUAGCGUAUCAAACUAUCAAUCACACUAAAAGCUUAGCUACUACGCUCGCUGUUUUCGACUUGACUCAAUUCAACGAAACGUUAGAUCUAUUUUAGAGUCUCUUGCUAUUAGGUCUAGUGUGGACCGCAGGUCCACUCAACUUAUUGAGUUUAAUCCAACUCAAUUUAUUAGUCUGUUAGACCUAUUGUUAUUAUGAGAUAGAAAGUUGAAUCUAUUUUAACCAAUAUUUAGUACAUACAUAAAUUUUUAAGUUUAAAAUUUACAAUGAUUCUAGAGUGUUGUUUUUCGUUCAUAUACUUAUUUACUAUUAUUAGAAAACUUAAUAUUCAUGCUCUAUACAUAUACUAACCAUUUAUCUUUUGUCUCAUAUUUUAAUCUUACCUAGUGACAAUUUUUUUUUUCCUUUUUUAAAUUUAGAAAUGGACCGUUGAAUUUUAAGCAUGAGAUGAAAAGAGACCUGCAGUUAAAUUUGAUUUUGAUCUUAGGCUUAGUUUGGUAUUGAGGUCUAUCUAACGCUAUUAGAUAAAAUGGAGUUGAGGAAAAAGCAUAAAGGGCUAUGCUUCUACGUUCUCCAAUGGGGCCGCAGAAAAUAUAUCGUAACCGACUCAUCGCAAUAUGCGGAACGUAAUAUUACGUACGGAAACAAACAGGGUAUUUUUCCAACGUACUUUCUCACCGCACGUAACGCAAUCUCUCCGCAAUCCCAAACAAAACCUUAAUAAUAGCGCAAGCUUCAAUUAGGAGUUUUGAAGUUUAUUUGUUCUUGCUCCGAACAACAGUGCCACGUGUGUUUUUACCGUAUUACAGUCCAGUAUUAGAAAGUAGUUGUUAUUCUAUGUAGAAACUUAAGCUACCAAAAAAUUAUAUUUCAAUAUUUUAUAUAUUCAACACUCUCCUUCACCUUUCGCUUGAAAUAUUUCUAUAAACUCAAGAGGUGAACUUGACUUAAAUAAAAAAAUAAUAAUAAUAAAAUUAGAAGCCUAAUAAUAUUCGAACUCAAAAUCUUCUACUACCUUAUACUAUUCUAGAUGUACGAAUUGGCGACCUCAAUUGACGAUGGGGGGCCCACAUACAGCAAACUAUGAGGGGCUUUUUGUGGGUGCCCCUUCCUAUCGACAGCUCUCGUCGACUCAUCGAAAUAACAUCGAUUGCACUUAAUAUGAAACAACUGUUGUUCUCGAAAAGUCGGCUUAAGCUGUAUUCAACAGUAAUGUACAAAGCUGAUCACUUGCAUCCAAACAAGCAGUAGUUGGGACUUGGGGAGGAAGUGCUUCUCCAAUACCACCACUCAAGCAACAGUGUUACAUAAACAAGCCCAAGAAGCUACAGUGCUAGUUGUAUAUAGAGAGAGAGAGAGUGAGUGAGACUAGUAUGCUUCGCAGCACGGAGUCUUCCGUGCUUUCAAAUCGUUUUUCAUGUUGGGACUUUCGAAUCGAUGAUCGAUUCCGUUAGACUUAAUCUGGAGUAUUUGAAGUAGUUAGAAAAUAAAUUUUACAAUUUUUUGAUUUCAUAUGCCUAGUAAUCGAAAAAAAUUUAUAUAGUAUAAAAUUUUAGAUCAAAGAUAUUGAUCUUAUUUUAUAUAGUAUAAAAAAAAUUUUAUCCAAAUUUCACAUGAUUUAAAUAUUUCUACACCAUUAAACUUACAAACGGCUUAUCACAACCAUUAAAAUUAUUGAUUUUAAGACCUUUUGAUCACUAGGCAAAUAAUAUCGAAAAAUCAUGAAAUUUAUUUUUUAGAUACUUUAAAUACUCUAGAUCAAGUCUAACGGAACUGAUCGACGAUUCGAAAGUCCCAAUAUCUAAAACAAUUUGAAAGCACGGAGGGUUCCGUAUCUAGAAGCAUACCAGUCUCUCUCUCUCUCUCUCUCUAUAUAUAUAUAUAUUGGGUUAAUUGCAUAUAGUUUUCUGUAAAUAUAUCGAAUAGUAGAUAUAUUUCUACAAAGUUUAACUUUUUAUUUUUAUUUUUGUAAAACUCUUAAUAGUUUUAAAUAUACCCCUACUGUUAAAAAAAAAUAGGUAAUUAUAGGUAAAAUACUUAACCUUAGUUAGUGAAUGAGAUAAAUUGACCUUUUUAUUUCUCUUAUAUUAUAAUAAUUUUAUUUACUAAUAAAAUAAGAAGAUGACUUUUGGGAGGGUAUUUUUUGUAUAAUUCUAAUAGUUGAAAUUUUUGAAGGAACAUAUUUGUAAUGAUAAAAAUGUAAUUUUACUUACCUUCUGUUAAAAAAUAAAUAGUACUCUAACGUUAACAAACCAGAAGGACAAAUAUGAAUAUCAUUGAAUUUUUGUGAGAAUAAAAAUUAAAAGUUGAACUUAUAUGAAUAUAUUUAUUAUUCGAUAUAUUUACGGAAAAUUGUAUAGAAUUUUUUUUUUUUUUUUUGAGUCAAGUUGGAGUCAAAAUCAGGAAAAUUAAAGCAUCUGAUUUGGAUUAGAACCAACUCCCCACCUCUAUGAUGACAAGUACUUUGUGUGGCAGCAAAAUUUUGAUAUUAAUAAGUCAACAUGUAGGUGAGAGGAUUGUGGUUGUGUGGGUCAAAACCUGGGUUAAUAAAUGAUUUGCAUUAAAAAGCUAUUUUGUCACACUGAUUCAUGAAAAAUGCAAUUGCAAUGACCAUAGUUUUCAAGUUUUGACUUGCCAUCAUUAUUAUUAUCACCAUUAUUGUUAUUAUUGCGAUAUUUCCGUCGCAGUGUCCGUGACGAACAAUUCACAAAUUUAAGUUAAAAAAGUGUUAAUUUCGUACAGAUCUUUAUAAAUAUAGUAAUAACAAAUGUAUUUCUAUAAAGUUCAACUUUCAUAUAUUGUUUCUGUAAAAAUUGUGAUAUAAUCAAAGUGUGACAAAAACAAUCUUAGAUUUUCUGGGAUUUAAAAAACCGAUUUUUAGAGGAUUGAGGUAAAUUUGAUAUUUAUUAACUUUUAGAACUUUAAUUUUUGAGUAGCUGAGCAACAAAAAAAUAUAUAAAUACAUACUCUGAGCAAAUUGAAGCAAAGAAAUUUUCAUUAACGACUUUACAUAUUUUUAAAAAUUUAAUAAUGGAAUAAUUUUCUAUGCAUAUUCAUCAACUGUCGAUUUGGUUUUAAAAAAAACUAAAUUUUUUUUUAAAAAAAAUAUUUUCUAAUUUCCUGACAAAUUAAUAUUUUCAUUUUUUGCUUUUUUUAGAAAAACGAAAAUACUAGUUUUUUAUAAAAUUUGGAAAAAUAAAUUUUCAAAAAAGCUAGUUUUUUUUGGAAGCCAAAUGAACAAAAGAUUGAAAAAAAAUCAUAAAAAAAAUUUCUCGAACAAUUUUUGUUCGCACUUUUUCAAGAAACCAUAGAGUCCCCUAGAAAAAAAAAAAAGAGAGUACAAAACACAAUAAAUUUUGAAAUUCAAGUUUUUUUAGAUUUUAACUGUGAAUAAUUCUUCUCAUCUUACAACACUUUACAAACUAGCGUAUAUGGCGAUAUGUAUCUGAUGAACAAAAUACAAGUCACACAAAUAUAAGUAUGACUUAUAAUUUCAAGAUUAAAAUUCAAUCGUUAAGUUGUAUAAUUUGUAAAAUAUCGUGGGAUUUAUUUAUAAGCAAAAUAUUUUUUCUACAAGAAAAAAUGAACAAAAUACCAUUCCCAUUAUUAUUUAAUGACAUUGAUGUCAAUAGAUAUAUGAGUUAUCUUGAGAAAACAAUAAAUGUGAAAUUGAAAAAUUAAUGAUGGUGGUCAUGUAAUAAAUUAAUUAACAAGAGCAUGAGUUGGCCAAGGAGCAACAUCACAAGAGUUAUGAUCAUCACUAUUGCUAGAUAGAGAAUAAGAUGAUUGUUCAUUUUUUACUAUUUAAUUUGAUCCAAUCCAAGAUAGUGUUGCCAAAUAUCUUGGAAUGAGUUUUUGUAUGGUGGCUUGAUGCGACGUCUCGCUCUCUACGAGGCAGCUAUUAUAGAACUACUGUAACUCUAACACGCUUAACUCUCUUAACUUUUUAGGUCUAGUCACUGCUCAAAAUAUUAUAAUCGAAUUAGAAGAUUUGGCCUUAUUAUAUUUUAUAUAUGUUGCAUUGAGACAAGGACGAUCCAAGAAGGCUUGUAAAACGAGCAAUCCGAUCCGAUUUUGGUUUCCGGAUACGUUGGCUAUCCGGUUUGUAAGUUUCCGCUGCCUACUAUUU
rnacentral:lncRNA from 1 species